UCAGCAUCAUAUUCAUUGCUGUAAGGUUCUGUAAUCCAAGCGUGACAAUCAAAAUAAUGCUUCACAUAACUGCUGUUGUAAGCCUCUCCGGCGAAAGCCGUCUUGUCCAACCCAAUGCUAUCAAGUAUGGCCACCACUGAAAGCUGAGGUGGUCCCUCAAUGUUAGAGCAGCUCAUUAUGCUGAACAGAAGAAGGUGAAGACUAAGAUGAAGAAAAUACAGAGCAAGUUACAGGGCAAGUGUGUCAGCAGUGCCAGCUCAGCUAACAGCUCAGCAGAUUAGUUAAAGAUGGUUGUAAGCAUGAUGUGCAUUGUACUGAAGUUAGUUAGCUUUGAUUACAGUUAGUCUUUGGAUUAGUUAAAUGAAGUUACCGUGAUUGCAUUGUAUAUAAACAGGUGAUGCUUUGUAAUUAAAUGUUAAGCAAAAUAAAAAUCAAAGUUUGUUAAGGAAAUAUCUCCAGAAUUAUCAAUUCAUUUUCUUAGUAACCAAACAACUUUAUUUCAUUUUCUUUCAGUGCGGAGAGGCCGAAAAUUUGCUGGAGGGAUACCAAUUAAUUUGGCAGAUUUCUGAAGAGCGAAAUGUGUUUGAUCGGAGGCAUAAACAACCAACUUAGUAAUGUUGUCAAAGCCUCCUCCAAGUUUUUCCAAUGCUUUGUCUCUUGCAGCUGCCAGAGUGCAAACGAGGGAUUCACAAGUGCUUCCGUGCAGGACACCACCACCUGUUCCGGAAAACAAAAAUGAAGAAGGAAGCUUGAGCAUUUUCCCCAUCCAAUCCAUCACAAUGGAUUCGAGUUCAGUUGCUACCGGAGAAGCGAGCCAGUUGAAGCCAACCACGUUGAACCCUGAACAAAGCAUCUCACCAAGAAAGCCAGCAGUGCUUGCAUUUGCUUGGAAAUAACCAAAGAAAUUGGGGCUUUGCCAGUGAGUGAGGCCAGGUAAGAUGCAGUCGGUGACAUCUUUUAGAAUAUCAUCCAAUGACUCUGGGGAAUGCGGGGCUGUGUCAGGCAACCGAGCCGACAAAUAACCAGGCUCUACUUUGCUUUGAACAGGGUAUUUCUCGAUGUUUUUGUAAUAAUCAGCAAUGAAAUCGAUAACAGCUUUCGAUUCGUCAGAGAAGCUCUUUGGCAUUACUCUUAACACAUGAGGCAAGAAUGGAACAAAAUCAUAAUACUAAAGAUCUUUUUAGUGCAAACUAUGGGAUGAUGAAUGCUAACUACUCUCAGUUUAGAGGAAAUAAUAAGAGAGGUGGUUAUAGUGGAUAUCAAGGGCAAUUUAAUGCUGGAAAUAGGAAUCAAAAUGGAGGAAGAGGAAUGUCUUUCAAUUCAUUCUCAAGAGGUUUUCCAGCUGGUGGAUAUACUGGUAAUGCUGGUGGCAGAGGACAGCAAAUGAAUGCAUAUGCUUAUAAACCUGUGCUUAACAACAGGCAUAAUUUCAAUGUGAAUCAUGGCUCAACUUCAAUGCCCAAUGGAAAUGGAUCUGAUGAUAAUGUGCUUAUCUGUCAAAUCUGUCAUAAAGCUGGACAUGCAGCUGAUGUUUGUUGGCACAGACACUUUGAUGGCUAUGCUCCUCAACCCAGACAAUUUGGAAGGGGCAGAGGGCAUAAGUCUGCUUAUAUGGCUAACUUUGAUCCACAAAUUGGCUUUACUUCACAAUUUGAAGAUUCGUUUGCUACAGAAUAUCCUGGUUAUCAUGGGUACCAUCCACCUGAUAUGAAUGCAUCAGUUGCAUCAGUAAGUCAUCACUCAUCUGAUAUGCAUUCUGUACCUGGAGCAGCUUAUAUUGCAAAUUUUGAAGGACCAGCUGAUGAAGGGUGGUAUCUUGAUAGUGGAGCUACGCAUCACAUCACUAACAGCAUGGCCAAUAUGCAUAUCAGAGAUCAAUUCACUGGAGCAGAUCAGCUCAUUAUUGGAAAUGGACAAGGUUUGCCCAUAACUCAUGUUGGUGAUGCAUCAUUUCUCUUUAAAAGUUCCAAUUCUACACACAAACACUCACCUAUAGUACUUAAAGAUAUUCUGUUGGUGCCUUCCUCUCAGUUAUCAUCAUCUUUUCUUUCUCAUAUGUGUUCCAAUAAACCUUUGUCUAUGCUUUCUUGUUGUUGUUUCAAUUCUGUUCCUUCUGGAGUAUUUACAGAAUCUUAGAAAUCAUGUAAUCAAACUGAUGAUUCAUCUUGUAAAACUUCAGUUAAUAAAGCUAUUUUGCUUCAUAGAAAGUUUGGUCAUCCCAAUCAUCAAAUAUUAACUCAUAUACUCAAAACAGCAAAAUCUAUUCAUUUACCUGCAUAUCAAAAGCAACAAAUGCAUCAGUACAUCUGUGAGGCCUGUCAAAUGGGCAAAACACAUAAACUUCAUUUUCCAAUUACUGAAACCAAAACCUCCAAAACUCUAGAACUUAUACACACUGAUUUAUGGGGUCCUUCUCCCAUUAUUUCUAGAGAUGGUUAUCAGUAUUAUAUAAGUUUUGUAGAUGACUACAGCAGGUAUACAUGGAUUUAUCCUUUGAAGCUAAAGUCUGAGGCAUUAGAAGUCUUUAAGCUCUUUAAACUGCAGGUUGAAAAUCAGUUUAGCACAACCAUUAAGAUGAUGCAAUCUGAUUGGGGGGGAGAGUAUAGACCAUUCACUGAGUUUUUAAGCCAAUUUGGUAUCAUCUUUAGACAUCCUUGUCCUCACACUCAUCAUCAAAAUGGGUUAGUUGAAAGGAAGCAUAGACAUAUUGUUGAAUUGGGUCUGACUCUCUUAGCUCAAGCUCAACUUCCCUUUAAGUUCUGGUGGGAUGCAUUUCAUACUGCUGUAUAUCACAUCAACAGACUUCCAUCUCCUGUUUUGCAACUUUUAACCCCAUAUGAAAAGACAUUCAAACACAAACCUGAUUAUGAUUUUCUCAGAUGUUUUGGGUGUUCUUGUUAUCCUUACUUGAGAGAUUACAAUAAACAUAAAUUUGCCUACCAUUCUAGUAAGUGCAUAUUCAUUGGUUACAGUCCUUCACAUAAGGGCUACAAAUGUUUACACCCUUCAGGUCGAGUCUAUGUGGCAAGACAUGUUACCUUUGAUGAAUCAGUUUUUCCUUAUGCCACUGAGUUUGUUUUUCAUAGUCAUGCUAAAACUGAUUCUCAAAUUUCUCAUUCCCAUACACCACAGCAAAUCCAUCAUAUCUCUUCUUUGCCUGUCAAUAACAGCACUGGUAAUCUGAACUCUGUAAGAUCUGGAAGCAGCAGUUCAAGUCACUCAGAUCAUCUAGAACAGACAGCAACUGAUCAGAAUUCACAACAAGCUACCAUAAAUGACAGGUCACCUUUUCAUACAUGUCCAACAAUUGUUGAAUCUAUACAAAAUAUUCCAAAACCUCCACAUCACUCUUUGCCUAUACAAAGUCACCAUCCUAGCAACACUUCUUUCUAUCCAUAUACACAACCAAAUACACAUCAGAUGAUAACCAGAAGUAAAGCAGGGAUUUUCAAACCCAAAAUUUAUACUGCUGUGCUUACUCACAAGGAACCAGAUACUGUGCAAGAAGCAUUAAAUGAUUCAAAGUGGCUACAAGCUAUGAGGGAGGAAUAUGAUGCCUUGAUUAAGAAUAAUACAUGGACAUUGGUUCCAAGACAAGCUGAUCAGCAUGUGGUUGGAAAUAAAUGGGUGUAUAGAAUCAAAUAUAAUACAGAUGGAAGUGUAGCUAAGUAUAAAGCUAGACUUGUUGCAAAGGGUUUUCAGCAAGUGGCAGGGAUUAACUAUUUUGAGACAUUUAGCCCAGUUGUGAAGUCAGCUACAGUUAGAGUAAUACUUAGCUUGGCAGUGAUGAAUCAGUGGAGAAUAAGGCAAGUGGAUGUCAAUAAUGCCUUUUUGAAUGGAGAGCUAACAGAAGAAGUUUUCAUGUCUCAACCUGAUGGCUUUAUUGAUGCUCAGAGAUCUGAUUUUGUAUGCAAAUUACACAAGUCUCUGUAUGGGCUCAAGCAAGCUCCUAGAGCCUGGUAUGACAAGCUUAAAGGAUGCUUAAUAAGCUGGGGUUUCACUACUACUAGUUCUGACACCUCAUUGUUUGUUAGGAAGAUCAAGACAUCUAUGAUCAUAGUUCUUAUAUAUGUUGAUGACAUACUGAUCACAGGUCCAAAUACUGAGGAGCUGGAAGGUUUUAUAACUGAAUUCAGCAAAACUUUUGCUCUAAAGGAUCUGGGAGUGUUAUCCUAUUUCCUUGGAAUUGAGGUAUUAUAUGAUGCAGAUUGUAUGUACUUGUCACAGAGAAAGUAUAUCAGAGAUUUGUUAUCGAAGGUAGAAAUGACUGAAUGUAAGGGCAUUGAUACACCCAUGAGUACUGGCUCUAAACUGCAAAAGAUAGUUCAGGGGGAACUUGGAUACUAUCUUGAAGAUCCAACUCAUUAUAGGAGCAUAGUUGGAGGAAUGCAGUACCUGAUACUUACCAGACCUGAGAUUGCGUUUGCUGUAAACAAGCUUAGUCAGUAUGUAGCUGCACCAACACUACAACAUCUAAUGGCAUGCAAGAGAGUUAUAAGAUAUCUAAAGGCAACUCAAGAUUAUGGUUUAAAAUUUUUCAGAGAAGGAAGCUUAACACUCACUAGUUUUACUGAUGCAGAUUGGGCAUGUGACUUAGAUGAUAGGAAAUCAGUUGGUGCUUAUUGCAUUUAUUUAGGCAAUAAUUUGAUAUCCUGGUCUUCUAAGAAACAAUCAGUGAUAACCAGAUCAAGUGCCGAGAGUGAGUAUAGAGCUUUGGCAUCAGUGAGUGCAGAGCUGACAUGGUUACAAUCCUUAUUUUCUGAGUUGGGAAUAAGUUGCAUAGAAAAGCCAAUCAUAUGGUGUGACAACAUUAGUGCCACUGAACUAGCAAAGAACCCUGUGUAUCAUUCAAGAACAAAGCAUAUCGAAAUUGAUAUGCACUUCAUUAGGAAUAAGGUUCUUGCUGGUGAGUUGAUUAUUCACUAUGUACCAAGUGAAGAACAGAUUGCAGACAUAAUGACCAAGCCUCUUUCAUUUGUAAGGUUUAACUACUUGAGGUCCAAACUCAAUGUCCAUCUUUGUCCUCUGAGUUUGAGGGGGGCUGUUAGAGCAGCUCAUUAUGCUGAACAGAAGAAGGUGAAGACUAAGAUGAAGAAAAUACAGAGCAAGUUACAGGGCAAGUGUGUCAGCAGUGCCAGCUCAGCUGACAGCUCAGCAGAUUAGUUAAGAUGAAGAUAUACCGGCUUCAGCUUUAGAAGUUUUGAUGCGAUCAAUGAUUUUGGAAUCCAUGUGCUUAAGUUGUUGCAUCCGUUGCUUAAUAUCAGUGAUUCUGCUUUGGAGUCCUUGCAGAGCAUCAAAAAUGUCCUUGCUGCAGCUGCUUUGAGUCUUCUGUUGAGUGAUGCUGUUGAUGAAUGUGUCAAUCACCUUCUCAGAUUCAUACGUAAACCAAUUGAUUUCGUCCAUAACGGUCGCCAGAUCUGGGUCAUGACUUUCCUCCUCCGCCAUUUUUUCGAACAGAAGGAGGGAGAUAUCAUCUUCAAAUUCGCUCAGCCAAGAAGUAACGAUUUCAACCUCCGCAUGAAGGUUCUGAAUAGGUUGUUUUGCAGCAUCAGGCAACGUGACUUCUUCACCAGCUAACACCCUUCUCAGCCUCUCUGAAAAUAGUCUGAAGUUGAUGUGCAUAUCUCCUCCUCUCUCAGAUUCACCCUGAAAUCAGUCCUGUAGCAUGCAAAGAAAUAAUUAAAAGAAAAACAUGCUUUAAAGCUCUCAAUUCAAACAUUAGUGCUGGCUCCCAUACCUCCCUUCUCUUAGCUAGCUCUCCGGUCAAGAAGUUGAAUCAAGAUCGUUGACUCUCAGAUUAUAACAGAUCAAGGAAGAAUCUUACAAUAAUCUCGUCUCCCAUAUGAUCAAGACCAAUUUGUUUUAUACAUCCACUUUUAAGAAAGGAAGGGUAAAAACAAUUCCACUGGGACUAUAAAAGCUUGUCUGAAAAGAAAAGAACGGAGCAAGCACAAGAGCGUUAUCAAUUAUUUAAUAAUUAAUAACUAAGCCGUGGAAAAAUGCAAAAUCAUGUCAGGUGUUACUUGUUAAAUUUAUUGCGAGACUUGCAUGUAUCUAUAUCACAAAUAAAAUUUGUAUCCCAGGGUUAUAAAUGUAAAAUUACUCAAAUAAAUAUGCAUUCUUAAUCAUGUGUGAUGCUGUCUUAUUUCUGAGAAAGUACUAAAUCGUUUGUAAAAUUUUAUAGUUAAUAUAUGUUCAAUUUUCUUUUUAGCAUUCUUUUUUAAGAAAUGAAAAAUGAUAAAGAAUUCUAACAACGGGUGACAAAAAUAAUAAUAAAUUGUGCAAUGUUACAAUGUUAAUUGAAAAAUAGUUAUAAUUUUUUAUUUAACAUUAUAAAUAAAAUCUAUAGUUGUUUUCUCACUACUGUAUCAUUUUUUAAUUCAAAUAUCAGUAUUAUAUGAGCUCUCACCUUUUAGAAAGUAUUAUAUCAUAAGACACUAUUUAUAAUUAUUUUCAUUUGAGCCCUUAGUGUUAAAAAUAUAACAAUCCAUCAAUGAAAUCAAUGAUAAUGGAAUUCUAAGUAGGAAUGGCAGAAAAAUCAAGUCUAGCUAGAGCAUGUUUUCUAAGUAUUCUGGCUGGUCUUGGGCUCCGGCUAAAAAGUUCGAACUCAGCUCGAAAGCCAACAUUGUAUAGUGGGAAUCUAGGACCAAUCACAUGGAGAUGAUUUGUAAAUUUUUGUACACAAUUUUAGUAUGCAUAUCAGAAGAGAGGCAGCAAUCUUAGUUGAUACUUUUAUUUGACAUAUGAUGUAAGAAACGGAACAAAGAUUGUAACGCCACAAAUUUUGCAAUUCAGCAUCCAAAAUAUCACUAGAACUUGCAAGACAAGCUUUAAUCUCUUCAACAAAGGUCGAAUUGCGGGCAGGAACACAAACGCAGAGAUGGGUAUCAAGAUCGCAUUCGAAACGACUGACAGGGAUUGUCACAGUCGGCAUUGCUUUUACAAGUGACUGCUUUUGAUUCCGGUUGAGCAUCAACUGCCGGCAUGGAAAUAUUAAACAACACACUUGCAUAUAUAAAUGCCAAACAAUUAAUUAGCCUAAUGCUAAUAACACGCCUGCAUAUAUAAAUGCCAGCCAAUUAGUUGUCAUAUUAUAGUUAAUUAUGCAUGCAUUAAAAAGAUGAGGAAAAUAAGAUUAAGGAACAAACAUGAGGCCACCAACAGAGUGAUGAAAAAUGUGGAUUUAAGUUUAAGUUCCAUAAUGUUUAUGUAAGCAAAAGUGCAAAACUGAGAGUCUGUGGAUAAUGAUAUUAUUAAAUUUAAUAUGGGUUUGGUUUGCAUAGAUUCAUGAAUUUCUCUAGACAUUAUAUGCGCCGGGGGAGAAUUUAAUCCACUUGACAACUAAAAAAUUCAGAAAUCAAACCUCGAUUUGACAAAUUAGAAAUUUAAAAAUUAAAUUUUUUUCCAUAUGCAUGCUCUCGUUUUUCUCUCUAUCACAGCGGUAUAAUUGGAAUUAUUGUUAUGACAAUUUGAUUCUCUUUUCUUACAUGUUGCAGGAGUCAUGUCCUCCCGUUGAGGUGACAAAAUGACUAUGGAUUGUGCCUGAGUGGAGUACACCACCAGUAUGAUUAUCUCACUCCCUUUCGAGGUUUUGUUGCAGUAAUUUCUCAUCUUUUAUAGGGUACCCUGCUCUUCAUUGCUUCUGUAGAAGUCUUAUGAGCUAAUUGCUUCCGAAUCUUUAAAUUUCUUCAAUGAGGAACCUUUGUUUGGAAAAUUGAUUUUCAUCUGAUCCGAGAAGGGUGCUUUGAAGCAGAGAGCUUACGAAAUGCAGCAUGCAAAAUCAUGACUACAAUGCAGUAGACUAAUUGUUAGCUCACUCUAAGCAAAGGCAACGUUCAUAAAAGAUGAAGAAGAGUUUCUAAUAUUUACCAACAUAACCGAUAGCAAGUGCACAGAAUAGAGUCAUCUGAACAUUCAGUAGCAUAAGAACAACCAAUGUAGCUGCAAAGAUGAGAUGUAAUUACUACUGUGAAGUCGACGAAAGAAUUCCACUAUUUAUCAACAACUAGACUGUAGUAUAAUGGAAAGACCUGCCAAGGAAAGUUUAAAGCAAAACUCAUCCAGAGAAGGCAAGAACAUUAGUAUAGAAGCAGAAGUGCACACAUUCAUAUUUAGGGGUAACGAGAAAUGUAUCAUAAAUCACUUGCUCUAGCACAGUACUAUUUCAUGCUAAUUUUCUUGCUCGUUCUAUGGUUAGGACCCUUUGAGCGGAAAGAAAUCAAAUCACAAUGCUUAUUCUAGCUAGAAACUCCUGAAGUCCAUGCUUGAACCCUGUGUCAAUUGGUCAUAGACUCCAUAUUCUCCCAAAAGUAUGACAUUUUUUUCUUCCACUGAUUAAUGGAACUUAAAACUGUUUUGCCACAAUCUUAGUCAUACAAACCCUUUCUCUUUACAUUUCUUAAGGUCAUCAGACCCAAACCAGAACAUGUUUACUUCCUAGGAGAAAUCUUAAAUAUCUUAAUCAAUACGGAACUGUGUAGUUCAGACAGCAUUCCCUUGGCCAACUAGACGUAACGAUUUGCAAUGUCCUAGUAAGUCUAUGAGUGGAACUAACAGUGCCCUUCCAAUACGGAAAAACAAUCGUCAAAAACAAUUUUUUUACCCCAUCAACCACAUACAGUAUAAGACUGUAGCUGGUUAUCUCAAUAUCGGCUGCCAUUUUGAUUCAAAGAAGAAAUAUUUGAGAACUCACCACAUUGUGCAAUGCGAACCAGAACCUGCCUAAUCACAGGAUGCCGAUCCCAGUUCCAUUUGUCACUACAGAACUUGAAAAAAUCCCAAAGUGCCAAACUUGAUAUCAACCCAACAAGUGCAAGUGGCAUCUGGUAUCUAUAAGAUGGAGACAGAGACAAUGUCACUAGACAGAUGAUACACAGAAAAAAAAACUUGUAAUACAACUAACACACACAAUACUAUGAUUAAAAAAAUAUCUCCAUCAGUUAAAAACUAAACAAUGGAAAGGCGAGACUCUAUGAACUAAUGCCCUGAACCAGCACAAAUACCAAUUCUCCCGGAGUAUUUUAAGUAUUCAUAUAGUUGUUUCAAAGCACAGGAAAAAAAAAAACAACGCAAAAUUGCAAACUCAUAGUGUUGUUAUUUAUCAAUUGAAACCCAGAAAAAAAAAUCUGUAACUUAAUUAUUCAUUUAAGCAGAUUGAAACCCUUACAAACACAGGUAAGCAAAUCAAAAUUAUCAUUAAAAAUCCAAUCAAGGCCACAUAAAUCUAAUCACAUCCAAAAGCAUCCCAAAAUCUCGUUCAAUAUUCAUACACCCACAUACAAAAACCAUUCAAAAAUUUAAUUUUUUUUAACUCAAAAUAAUAACUCAGGAAAGGAAACAAAAUUCUUACAGAGAGCAAGCAAAGAAGAGGAUGAACAAAGAAGCAUAAUUCCUGGCAUAACGUUUAACAUUCUCAUGAACUCUCAACUUAAGGGUGUGUGGGGAAGAUGGAAACGAGUAAGACCCAAGAGCCCCAAUAAACUCACGGGUCCAAGACGGGGUGUUGGCUGAGAAAUCAUCAGUGGUGAGUUUAGCAAAAGGGUUGGCGGUAAGAAGAGAGAUAAAGGUGUAUAAAUAAUGUAAAAGGCUGUGAGUUAUGGUCGUGGCUGUGGCUGUUUCUUUGGUGGAGGCUGUUGUGACGGCGGUGGCCGAUGUCGUGGUGGCGGUGUCAAGGCUUUCGAGGUAGCCGGAGUCGCGUAGCCAUGACUCGAAUGCUGGGUCGGUUACGUUUAGAGAUAACGGGUUGGAUGCGAAUACCUUCCCCAUUGCAAAAAGUUAUCCAAUUUCGGUUGAACGAGGGUCACUAAAUUAUCAAAAUAUUAAUAACUAAUUUGUAACAAAAUUCAUAUGAUAUGAUAUGAUGAUAUAGGCCUUGGUUAGUGGUUUUCUAAACAAUUUAUUAUUAUUAUUAUUCUCUUAAUCAUUCCAAGUUUAAAUUUCGAAGAGGUAGGGGAUAGAAAUAAAUUAUAUUAGGAUUUGUCGAUUUUUCAAUAAAAACUUCAGUAUUAUAUGCUUAAUUGUUUUAAAGAAUUUUCUUUGAGUAUUGUUUUGAGUAAAUAAAUGUGAUUAAUUUAACAUGCUUAAGGAUUUUUAGUAUUUUAAAGACCAUACAAAGUAUAACUUAAUUUUUUAAAUUUAAUAGAUGAGUGUGUAGAACAAUAAAGUAUUUAAAGUAAUUAUUAGAGGAUAAAUAGGCAUAUCCAAUACUUUUAUUUUUUUGAAAAGAAAGUAAAUCUUUCAUAAAUCACAACACCUCAAAUACAACUUGAAUCUCGACUGGAAUAGUUCCUAGCCACAUAGAAGAAGAAUUUCUUCCCAAAGCUAACUUAGCUAGAGAGUGGGCAUAAGCAUUACAUUGACUUGUUAUGUGAUGAACAACUUUUUGAAAAACUUUCAACUGAUUUCGGAUCUCCAGAAUUGUCCAAAAAAUUUCUGUUUUGCUGCUCUUGGUGUUGUUUACAAGUUGAACCACCUCUAAGCAAUCUGACUUAAUGAUCAAGGAAGUUAAAUCUGCUUCUUUUGCCAACUGAAGCCCCCAUUGCACAGUCUCUGCCUCAGCUAAACUGACUGGUCCCUUAAGAUGAAUUUGAUUAAUACCGGCUGCAAUUAUCUUUCCAUUAGAAUCUCUAAUCACUGCUCCCACGCCUGCAAUCUGAUUCUUAGUAUUGAUGGCAACAUCCACAUUAAUUUUGAAAAUAUUUUCAGGGGGAGGGAACCACUUCUGUUGUUUCUCUCCUCUGGGGUGGGCAAUAUGAGAAGGCUUUGUCUUUCUUACUCUUUGAAAAGCUGAGCCUUUACAACAUGAGCAGGGAGGGGACUCCACUUUUGAUGCAUCAUAGAUAGUUUCUUCUCUGCAAAAACUUUGCCCAAAUUUCUUAAGUCUCUUAAAGGCAUCUAUCAGAUCUGCCUUUGCAACACUUUCCACAAAGUAGAAACUUUUCUUCUCAAAAUUAUGCAUCAUAAAAUACAAAACCAAGCAAAAUCAAAUGAACAACCCCAAAUUUGUAAAUCUGGGUAGACAAACAAUAAUAAACCACCACAAAUCUCUAGAUAUGAGUGGAAGAAUACACCACCACAGAUUUGAAAAUAUGAGUGGAAGAACAAAACCACCACAGAUAUGAGGAUCUGAGUGGAGAAAAUAAGUAAAGAAAAUAAAAAAAGAAGGUUUCGCUAGAAAACCAACUCAUAGAGCUGAUUUUUCGGCGAAAGAAGAAGGUGAAAUGUUACUGGAUGUUCAGAGCCUUUUUUUUCUGGAAAGGCAUAUCCAAUACUUUAACUUAUGGUUGGUUGUUUUUUUCACUGAAUUUUCUAAUUUGAAUUGAAUCAAUUACAAGUUGUGACUCGAGCUCAAGAGAGUUGAAGAGAAAGAAAAAGAAAAAUGGAGUCCUUCUCUUGUCCCUUUUAAGUGAAUAUAUUUAGGUUGGGUACCGCAGGGUAGUUUAAUCUUUUCUACUGCAUGGCACCUCUUUACUCAAAUAUCAAAUGAGCUUGCUCUUCACGUGACACCAAAUUUACCAAACUUUAUUUUUUUCCUUGAUUGGCUCGUGUAGGACAGUCGAGGUGUCAUUUGUUUUUUCACCGUUCAACUUCUUAUUUAUUAUUCUUAUACCACAUGUCAGCUUUCAACUAGUCCAUAAAUAUCCUUCAAAUUUUACCUCCAAACAAAUCUAAUAACCUCUUGAAAACAAAAAAUUAAAAAUUUACUCAAUCAUUCAAUGUUAAGGAAAUUGGCCAAGUAAUGGAAUGCUAACAAACCAAAUUAAAUUUCUACAUUUAAUUUUUUUUCUCAUGCAUGCUCUACUAAAAAUAUUUGAUGUGGUGCUAAUGCUCACUGCAAAGUAUAUAUUAGAUGCUCGUGCAUAUACCGUAGGCUAUAGCUAUACAAAAACUUAUACUUGCGUUCUCGAAUGCACACACUUGCACGCAAAAUUCUAUUAUUGAGAGUCGCUGCUUUCUAUAACACGGCCUUUUUCUAGCCUUUCAUUAGACGUGGUUUCAAUUUAUUUAACCAUUAGAGGGACACAUCAGUAGUCACAAAAAUGCCCCUCUAAAUGGCAAUUCUUUUAAUCAUUUUGCUGCCGCUCUUCCUUCCAGUCCCAAGUACAUAGCCCAAACUUCAAUUUUCUCUGGGAAGGUAAUGAAGCGUGGCUUAGUCUCAGUAAUAUGUCUUCCAUAUUCCAUGGAAUGAGCCAAAAGAGGAGUACUUCUAUAGUUAGUAGCAACUAGCAAUCAUAUUGAUUCUUAAAGGAAUUUUCUACAUCAGAUAAAGAAAGAGCAGCAGAGAACAAAGCUGUUAAUCAAUCAACACAUGUAAAGCAGUAUUAGUAUUUCUGCCUUAUUGUAGUGCCUAAGCGGGUAUUAGGAUUUCUCCACAAGAACGUUUACUAAGACAUUCAGCCAAGUGUGAAGUUCAUCAAUAAUUAAUCUUUUCUGGAAAUAAACGGAACAUAUUGAGUGCCAAACUUGCCCAGCCUUUGAAACAGGAUUUCAGAGCAAGCAACAGUGUUGAAGUCAACAAAUUGUUGAAAAAUAAUAAUAAUUAAAAAUUAUAUUUUUAAUUAUUUUAUUCUUAGCAUAGUAAUUCAUUUCUCCUAUAAAUAGUUAAGGAUUUCAUUCAUUUGAAAUCGUCCCAAAAUUGUUAAGCUUAUAAGUUUCUAAGCUUUUGAGGAAAGUGAGAGAAGUGUGUCUGGGGAAUUUAUCUUUCCUGCAGAGUGUGAGAGUACUGGGUAUAUUUGGGUUUCUGGGAAGUGAGAUUCGUUACUCAAAUAUUGUACUCUAUUAAUUGUUAAAUAAACAAUUAUUCUUUCUUGCCUCCGUGGAUGUAGGUUUAAUUACCGAACCACGUAAUUCUUGUGUCCUUUAUUUUUCUAUAAUUAUUUGGUGCGCUUGAUUCCGCAUUCCGCGCACAACAAGUGGUAUCAGAGCCGAAGGUUCUUACUUGGGGGGAUACGGUACUGUUCACGUAUACGGUACUAUUCCCGUAUUCGGCACUGUUCACAUACGGUACUGUUCACGAAUACGGUGGAGACGGCCAUUUAUACUUGGGAGACAGUCUAUUGUAAGUAGUGUAGAUGUAAGUUUAAUUACUGAACCACGUAAAUUCUUGUGUCCUUUAUUUUUCUGUAAUUAUUUAGUGCGCUUGAUUCCGCAUUCCGCGCACAACAAGUGGUAUCAGAGCCGAAGGUUCUUACUUGGGGGGAUACGGUACUGUUCACGUAUACGGUACUAUUCCCGUAUUCGGCACUGUUCACAUACGGUACUGUUCACGAAUACGGUGGAGACGGCCAUUUAUACUUGGGAGACAGUCUAUUGUAAGUAGUGUGUAUUUUUGCAUGUCUAGGAAAGUUCUGUUAACAAAGGCGAUAAGAGUCUAAGGAUUCUGGUUUUUAAUUGGGAUCGAGUUCCUGUCCAGUUUUCUGAGAACUUUCCUGGUGCAUUUAUUCACGCGAAAUUAACAUCAUAGAGACUAUUUUUCAAGUGGAAAUAGUUCGUUGAGAAAAUAGUAGAAGGUGAAACUUCCAGAAUUGGGGAGAGAUCUACCGAGACUAUUUCAGGAGACACUUCAGGUGGGAUGCGAGAUUUGUCAAAUCGCUAUUCAGCACCUGUUAUAGGAGGCCAGAAGAUCGAUGUUGAAAAGUUUGAUGGGAAAAUCAACUUCGGCAUGUGGAGGCGCGAAGUUAUGGAUGCCCUUAUUCAAAUCGAUCUCGAUGUUGUUAUGAAAAAUAAAAGAUGAGUAUCGUCUGAAGCUUUGGUGAGCAAAGAUUGGGCGAUGGAGAAACAAAAGAAGCGUGGUGGAAAGAAUUCUCGAUCCAAAUCGAGAAGCAGAAAUAUAGCUCGAGAUGAGUGUGCCUUUUGUCAUGAAAAGGGCCAUUGGAGGAAAGAUUGUCCAAAGGCUCAAAAGAGAGAUGGGAAGAAACCAGCAGCAGCAAACAUGGCACGGAAAGAUGAGGGCUCUGAUUAUUCACUAAGUAUUACUCCUGCAGCAUACGUGGCUAGUUCGAGCGAGUGGAUACUUGAUACUGGAGCAACUUAUCAUUUGUGUCCUAUUAAGGAAUGAUUUACGGAUUUUCGUAAUUUGGAAUCCGGUGCAGUUGUGAUGGGGAAUGAUCAACCUUAUCGCACAAUGGGGAUAGGAACAAUUCGGCUCAAAAUGUUUGAUGGAAUGAUCAGAGAACUCAAAGAGGUUAGAUUUGUUCCAGCUUUAAAGAAAAAUCUAAUUUCUGUGGGUGCUUUGGAAGCUAAAGGCUACAAGGUUACCAUUGAAGAUGGUAUAAUGAAGUUUACACAUGGGGCUAUGGUGAUUCUGCAAGGGGUUCGGCGUCACAAUCUGUACUAUUUGAAGGGAGGUACAACUGAUGAAGCAAAUGUUGUUGAAGCGCAUAGUGACACCACCAAGCUAUGACAUGUACGACUGGGACAUGCUGGAGAGAAGUCUUUGCAAACUCUGAUGAGACAUGGACUCUUAAAAGGUACCAAAACCUGUAAAUUAAAUUUAUGUAAGCAUUGUGUAGUAGGCAACUGAUGAAGCAAAUGUUGUUAAGGCGCACAGUGACACCACCAAGCUAUGGCAUGUACGACUGGGACAUUAAGAGUCUAAGGAUUCUGGUUUUUAAUUGGGAUCGAGUUCCUGUCCAGUUUUCUGAGAACUUUCCUGGUGCAUUUAUUCACGCGAAAUUAACAUCAUAGAGACUAUUUUUCAAGUGGAAAUAGUUCGUUGAGAAAAUAGUAGAAGGUGAAACUUCCAGAAUUGGGGAGAGAUCUACCGAGACUAUUUCAGGAGACACUUCAGGUGGGAUGCGAGAUUUGUCAAAUCGCUAUUCAGCACCUGUUAUAGGAGGCCAGAAGAUCGAUGUUGAAAAGUUUGAUGGGAAAAUCAACUUCGGCAUGUGGAGGCGCGAAGUUAUGGAUGCCCUUAUUCAAAUCGAUCUCGAUGUUGUUAUGAAAAAUAAAAGACACUUGUAUAAUGAAGAAAUUUAGGAUCGUAUGAAUGAAAAAGCCUGUGGUCAGAUCAGAUCUUGUUUGACCAAGGAGGUGAAAUACUUGGUGAAAGAUGAGGAGUGUGCGGUGACUUUAUGGCGUACAUUGGAGGAGAAGUACCUGGUGAAAAGUCCUGAAAAUCGCCUUCAUGCAAUGAGCCAAGUAUAUGGUUUUCGAAUGAAGCCUAGGGUGUCAAUGCACGAUCAUGUUUCAAGAUUUGAAAAGUUACUUGCUGAUUUGAAGAAUCUUGAUGAAGAUAUUAAGGAUGAAGUCAAGGCUAUAAUUCUGUUACACUCACUACCAGAGGAAUAUAGCCAUUUUGUGACUACUUUGAUAUAUGGGAAGAGUGUGAUCGUCUUUAAAGAUGUUUGCACAACAUUGACUAGCUUAGAGAUUCGGAAUAAUGAUAAAAAUUCUGAACGAGCAUCNNNNNNNNNNNNNNNNNNNNNNNNNNNNNNNNNNNNNNNNNNNNNNNNNNNNNNNNNNNNNNNNNNNNNNNNNNNNNNNNNNNNNNNNNNNNNNNNNNNNNNNNNNNNNNNNNNNNNNNNNNNNNNNNNNNNNNNNNNNNNNNNNNNNNNNNNNNNNNNNNNNNNNNNNNNNNNNNNNNNNNNNNNNNNNNNNNNNNNNNNNNNNNNNNNNNNNNNNNNNNNNNNNNNNNNNNNNNNNNNNNNNNNNNNNNNNNNNNNNNNNNNNNNNNNNNNNNNNNNNNNNNNNNNNNNNNNNNNNNNNNNNNNNNNNNNNNNNNNNNNNNNNNNNNNNNNNNNNNNNNNNNNNNNNNNNNNNNNNNNNNNNNNNNNNNNNNNNNNNNNNNNNNNNNNNNNNNNNNNNNNNNNNNNNNNNNNNNNNNNNNNNNNNNNNNNNNNNNNNNNNNNNNNNNNNNNNNNNNNNNNNNNNNNNNNNNNNNNNNNNNNNNNNNNNNNNNNNNNNNNNNNNNNNNNNNNNNNNNNNNNNNNNNNNNNNNNNNNNNNNNNNNNNNNNNNNNNNNNNNNNNNNNNNNNNNNNNNNNNNNNNNNNNNNNNNNNNNNNNNNNNNNNNNNNNNNNNNNNNNNNNNNNNNNNNNNNNNNNNNNNNNNNNNNNNNNNNNNNNNNAAGUCUUUGCAAACUCUGAUGAGGCAUGGACUCUUAAAAGGUACCAAAACCUGUAAAUUAAAUUUCUGUGAGCAUUGUGUAAUAGGCAAGAAAACAAGGGUUAAGUUUGGUACGGCUAAUCACGAUACUCGUAAGAUCCUUGAAUAUAUUCACAGUGAUGUAUGAGGACCAACUAAGACUGCAUCAAUUGGUGGAAGCCAUUAUUUUGUUACAUUUGUUGAUGAUUUCUCUAGACGUGUGUGGGUGUACACCAUGCGAGGAAAGGAUGAGGUUCUAGAGAUUUUCGUGAAAUGAAAGAAAUUAGUGGAGACUCAAACUGGCAGAAAGAUCAAAGUAGUACGAUAUGAUAAUGGGGGUGAAUAUACUUCUGAUCCAUUCUUGCAAGUAUGCCAGAACGAGGGUAUUAAAAGACAUUUCACGGUGAGACAUACUUCGCAACAGAACAGUGUGGCUGAGCGUAUGAAUCGUACUUUACUGGAGAAGGUACGGUGUAUGUUAUCUAAUACUGGUUUAGAUAAAAAGUUUUGGGUUGAAGCUGUGAGCUACGCAAGUCACUUGGUAAACCGAUUGCCUUCUGCUGCAAUUGGAGGUAAAACUCCUAUGGAAAUGUGGUCUGGAAAGUAUGCACAAGAUUAUGAUUCCCUUCGUGUAUUCGGGUGUCCAGCUUAUUAUCAUGUCAAAGAUGGUAAACUGGAUCCUCGUGUUAGAAAAGCUAUCUUUAUGGGAUUCAAAAGUAGAGUAAAGGGCUUCAAGCUUUGGGAUCUCGAAGACAAAAAGUUUGUGUGUAGCAAAGAUGUCACAUUUGAUGAAGCUUCAAUGAUCAAAGCUUCAAGUUCUCAGCAGGUGGAGAACAAGACCAAAGAGGUAUUGCAGCGGGUGGAGCUUGACGUAACUCCAUAUGUACCAGUUAGUUCUACAUCAAAGAAGAGUUCAACUAUAGAGGUGACACCUAGAGUUGAAGAAGAGGUUGUUUUUUCUGAUGUCCCACAAAAUGAAGAAACAAUUGAUGAUGUAGAUAAUGAUGAUUUUAUAGCAACAAGGAGGCCAAGAAGAGAGAUAAAGAAACCCAGAUGGCUUACUAAAGAUAUGGUGGUAGCCUAUGCACUUCCAGUUAUUGAUGAUGACUUCCCCAACACUUUCGGUGAAGCAUUACGCUGUAGUGAAAGUGAUCAGUGGAAGUUAGCCAUGGAGGAAGAGAUGAAAUCUCUCCAUCAAAAGCAGACUUAGGAACUUGUAAAGUUACCAAAGGGGAAAAGGGCUAUUGGCAAUAAAUGGGUCUACACCAAAAAGCAAGGAUCUCCAAAUCAAACAACUCCUCGAUACAAGGCAAGGCUCGUGGCAAAAGGUUUUGCUCAAAAGGAAGGUAUUGACUACAAUGAAGUUUUCUCUCCAAUUGUAAAACAUACUUUCAUUCGUAUCCUACUUGCCUAAGUUGCAGAAUAUGAGUUAGAGUUGGCUCAAUUGGAUGUUAAGACGGCGUUCUUGCAUGGAGAUUUGGAGGAGGAAAUCUAUAUGAUUCAGCCUUGUGGUUUCAGAGUUACUGGAAAGGAGAAUCAUGUGUGUAGGUUGAUUAAAUCUUUGUACGGACUGAAGCAAUCGCCAAGGCAGUGGUACAAAAGAUUUGAUCAAUUUAUACAAAGGCAGAAAUUCACCAGAAGUGAACACGAUCAUUGUGUUUACUUUAGAAGACUACCAGAUGAAGCUUUCAUCUAUUUGUUACUCUAUGUCGAUGGUAUGCUUAUAGCUUCGAAGAAUAGAGAUGAGAUCGAAAGAUUAAAGAAGCAGCUGGCUUCUGAGUUCGAGAUGAAAGACUUAGGUGAUGCACAGAAAAUACUUGGGAUGGAGAUUCGUAGAGACAAGAAGAAUGGGAGCGUAUGGUUGACUCAAAAGUUUUAUUUGAAGAAAGUGCUAGAAAGAUUCGGUAUGGAUGACAAAAUUAAAUCGAUAUGUACACCUCUAGCUCCUCAUUUCAAAUUAAGCUCUUAUUCAUGUCCUAGAUCUCAAGAGGAGUGCGAUUACAUGGCUCAUGUUCCAUAUGCUAGUGCUGUGGGUAGUCUUAUGUAUGCUAUGGUAUGCACAAGGCCCGAUAUAUCUCAAGCAGUGAGCAUGGUUAGUAGAUACAUGCAUAAUCCGGGUAAAAAUCAAUGGCUUGCGGUAAAGUGGAUUCUCUGAUAUCUAUAUGGGACAGUUGAUGUUGGGUUAUUGUUCAAGAAGGAUUGUGGUCAAUAAUGUGUUGGGUAUUGUGAUUCUGAUUUCGCUAGAGACCUUGACAAGCGAAGAUCAACAAUGGGCUACGUAUUCACAUUGGGUGGAGGUCUGGUUAGCUGGAGGUCGAUUCUACAAUCGACAAUUGCUCUAUCCACUACGGAAGCAGAGUAUAUGGCAGCAACUGAAGCUGUAAAAGAAGCUAUCUGGUUGAAAGGCUUAUUAGGUGAUUUGGGAGUAAUCUAGGAGAACAUUGCGGUCUUCUGUGAUAAUCAAAGUGCGAUAUUCCUUGCGAAGAAUCAAACAUAUCACGCUUGGACGAAGCAUAUAGAUGUGAAAUAUCAUUAUGUGAAAGAGAUUAUCGAGAGCGAUGUUGUGUUGUUGAGAAAGAUCGAUACCAAAGAUAAUCCAUCAGAUAUGUUGACCAAGGUAGUUUCUGGAGUUAAGUUUCAACAUUACUUGAAAUUAAUUCAAAUCCUUCGAUUGUGUUAAGAUAUGUCCUUCGGGAAUUUUGAACUACGGUUGGUUUGAUCCCAAAUUUUAGAUACGUAGGCAGUCAUAGAGAUGCAACCACUUUGGGGAUGAUGGCUUGUUGGUAGUCGACUCAAAUUUGAAAAAUUUUCGCCGAGGUGGAGAUUUGUUGAAGUCAACAAAUUAUUGGUGCAAAUUUGUUGAAGUCAACAAAUUGUUGGUGCACCAACAAUUUGUUGAAAAAUAAUAAUAAUUAAAAAUUAUAUUUUUAAUUAUUUUAUUCUUAGCAUAGUAAUUCAUUUCUCCUAUAAAUAGCUAAGGAUUUCAUUCAUUUGAAAUCAUCCCAAAAUUGUUAAGCUUAUAAGUUUCUAAGCUUUUGAGAGAAGUGAGAGAAGUGUGUCUGGGGAAUUUAUCUUUCCUACAGAGUGUGAGAGUACUGGGUAUAUUUGGGUUUAUAGGAAGUGAGAUUCGUUACUCAAAUAUUGUACUCUAUUAAUUGUUAAAUAAACAAUUAUUCUUUCUUACCUCCGUGGAUGUAGGUUUAAUUACCGAACCACGUAAAUUCUUGUUUCCUUUAUUUUUCUGUAAUUAUUUGGUGUGCUUGAUUCCGCAUUCCGCGCACAACAAAUAGAACAAAGACAGAAAAUACAUUCAACUGAACCCAACACCAGAAAGCAUCACAAAUAUUAUUUAUUUUUUGUACACAAUUAACGAACCAUCGCUGAAGCACAAAUCAAUGAACUCUCAACUGAAAAUCCGAAACGAAACUUCUUAUUUAUGAGUAGACAGCGGAAACAAAGAAACCAAAAAAAAGUCCACCACUGUAGGAUCAGGAUUUGUCUGUGUAGACAGUAGAAGUGAAGAUGGAAAGGAUUCUGGUUUAAAUUGAAGCUCAGGCUGUAGUCAUGAUGUUUUCUGCUCUGAUUUCACCUACACAAGUCAUUAAAGAAAUUGUGAAAAAGAAGAAUUUUAAAUUACAUUUUUUUCCUUAACUAUUAAAACAAAUGAACGCCGAUGUCUGCUAGGCUCAUGGUUGAAUGUGGAAGAGUAUUUAAGUCUCCGCUGCUGCUAAAUAGGGCUUGAUGAUUGGGGUGAGUAUCAGAAACUCUAAAGGGUACUUAAUGUUGAGACAAACUAGAAGAAAACACUCUGUAUAACCAUCUUUAUAUUGAAGAGAAGGGGGAAAAAGUAUAUGAAAUUUGAUAAAUAAUAAAAAGUUGAAGAAAUUAGAUAAAACACGAAACAAAUAUCAAAUUCAAUAAGGGCUAAUCAAAUUCCGUAAGGAUAUAGUUGAAUGCUGCACUGUUCCUUAUCCUCAAAUUCCCUUAGCUUUUGUCUCAGCUCUGGCUGAGGCCACCAGCAAUCGAACUUGUUUAAGCUCUUUACGCACCAGAGCUGUUCAUGCAUUUUUUUCAAGUAAGGACAAGGGUUGAUAAUCAAGCAUUCUAGUUUUGGCAUGGCUCCAAUCCCCAUAGUCCACUCCUCUAGGCAUAGCAUUGAUUUCAGGUGCAAUACCUUGAGAUUUGGAAAACCAUGGGAGCCACAAGUUAGCUUCCUACCUGAAUAUGAAUUUUGCUUCAGUUUGAGCACUUGAAGAAGUGGCAGCUUUUCUAGUGCGGGCAUGGGAUCCUCCAUAAGUUCAGUAUUAGAUAAACUCAAGUGGGUUAGUGUUGGAGGAAAAUGGGAUUCAACAAGGACAAUUUUAGAGAAAGCUGGCAUCUUGCUUUCGUUCACCAACUUCAAUGAUUCGAGGCAGCUUAAUCUGCAAAGACUACCCAUGUGAGCCAACUACCCAUGUUGCGAAGAUGAGCGACUUUUAAGAGGAAUAAAACUGUCUGCCUCUUGAGGGGUAUUUAAGAAAACAGUGUACACCAGAAGAAGGAAUGAAAAAAGAAAAUUAAUCUUCCAUCGUAGAGAAGGAGAGAAAAUUUAUAUUAUUUCAUCUUUUUUUCUUAUUCUGCUUUAGUUAUUUCCUUUAUAGUCAACUAUCUAAUUUACUCCAAAUCUAACUUAAGCAUCAAAGGGUUCUCGCCAGAUCCCCCACAGGCGAGUUGUGACCGGUUUCUGUAGCUUUCAAGUUGCAGAUUUAAAGUCCAUAUCAACAUUCAAAUUUUGUUCGUACUAGUUUUCCACCAAAAACAAAUUCAGCUGUUGAAGUCCUUUUUCAGCAUCAACAUCUUGGACAUUCUUAAGAUAGCAAAAUCAAUAAACUCAACAUUAUGUUACUGGCUAAAGAGUGAAGAAACCAUAAGAAUCCAAUGACAACCAAAGCAGAAGGAUCAAUUUUAAUACAAAAGGGAAUUCCUCUGCUGCAAACGAGGGCUUUGAUGUGAUUGUAAAGAAUUGAGAGUGAGCAGCAGUACAUCCUCUCGCCAUCAACUUCAUUGCACUGCAUUACAAGGCAAAUGUGAAAACGAUCACAACUGCUCUUUAUUCUCUUAGUGCAAUUGGGCUGCUAAUCAACCAAUAGAGAAAGAACUAAAUUUUAAAUAUUAAAUCUUAAAUCUUUAUUCGCUACAACUAAAUUUUAAAUCUUCCACUUUCAGAACUUUACUCGUUAAAUCUCCUCUUCAAUUCUACCUAGUCCUUACUGGAUCCUUAAAGUCACCAAGGAUUAGUGAUGGUUUUUUAUUUUACGAGGGCUGUUGGACAACCCAGAUUGACAAGGGCUAAAAUCUCCAUAUAUUUGGAGGCUAUGAAGAUUAGACAAUAUGCCCCAGUUUCUUUUUGUUGUGUUUAAUCCUCUGUUAGUACCAAGAUCACACACUUAAGACCCUCUUUGACGUAUCAAGAAUCAUUCCCAGAAAACCAAACUCAAAAUUGAAUCAAAGUGCCUACAUCCACUGAAGAACAAGGACCAUUUCACAAUCAUUCCAAGAAUAUAAAACUUUUUCUCUUUAAGUCUCUCUCUUUCUAUGGCUUUGAUGAGACAUGUGAAGAUGACCCAACAACCAUUUCACAAUCAGUUUUAAGAUGAUGAGAUGUGAUCACAGCACAAACAUUUUUCGUCUAACUGAAGUAAUGAGAUUGAACUGUACCACUAUUCAAAAACUAGAAAAAAGAUAAAAUAAAAUAAAAAACAAUAACAUAUAUGCAACUUGAAUGUUGACAAAUUGAAUACACACCGGUGAAUGUGAAAUAGAAAGUAAAACAAUUAAUCAAACUUUUGUACAAAAUAUUAAUCCGAAUAUGACAUAAUCCUUGAAAACAAAGAAACCAAACAAUUUCAGUGAAGACUGGAUUCUUAUUGAAAUUGAAACUUUGGCUGCAGUACAGUUAAGAUAUUUUCCGCUUUGCUUUGACCUACACAUUCAAGUAAUUGAAUAUCUUAUUUUUCAGUUUUUCUUGAUUAUUUCAACAACCAAUACAUAAGGGUUCUACCUCUUCUAUAAAUAAGGGAUUAAUGAUUAGUGUCAGUAUCAGGGAAUAUAAUGGACACUUCCAAGUCUUUGUUGUGAAAAAAAUUAGAAGCAACCACAAUUAGAAUGUAGAAAACACUUUAUGGUAUCAUUAUUAUUUAGGCUGCUACGUACUAUCAAAUCAAUCAUAGAGACUAGAUGUUUACGUGAAAUUAGAUAAAUAAUUAGAGGUUGAAGUUAUUGGAUAAAAAGGAAAAAAACUUACAUCAAAUUCGAUCCAUGCUAAUCAAAUUCCAUAUGGGUAUAGCUGAAUGCCAUACUGCUCCUUAUCCUCGAAUUCCCAUAGCUGUUGUCUCAGCUUGGGCUCAGGCCACCACAACUCCAAUUUGUUUAAGCUCUUUAGGCACCAAAGCUGUUCAGGAAUCCUUUUCAAGUGAGCACAAGGGUUGAUGAUCACGCAUUCUAGUUUCGGCAUGGCUUUAAUCCCCAUAGUCCAUUCCUCUAACCAUAGCAUAGAUUUAAGGUGCAGCACCUUGAGUUUUGGAAAGCCAUCAGAGCUACAAGCCAGCUUUCUACCUAAAUACUUCAGUUUGAGCACCUGAAGAACCGGCAGCUUUUCUAGUGCCGGCAUGGGAUCAUCAAUUAGCUCAAUAUUCGAAAAACUCAAGUGGGUUAGACUUGGAGGAAAUUGGUAUUCAGCAAGGAUGGUAUUGGAUCGCCGUGGCAUCUUGCUUUCAUUCGCCAACUUCAAUGACUCGAGGCAGCUCAAUCUACAGAGACUUUUGGACAACAAAGAUUGAUAAUAACUUAAAUCUCCCCAUAUCCGGAGAUUUUGAAGAUUAGGUAGUCUGCCCAAUAUCUCUUCAGUAGAGCAGCAAGGAUGCAAGGCUAAAAUGAAAUUGAGAUUUUAUAGAGAGCCACAAUAUUUUCCUGGAUGUGCAGGAAGUGUGAUCGCUCCAAAAUUUAGAUACCUCAGUUUGCUCAUCUUCCAAAAUUCAUCUGCUGUAUGAUCUAUGUAGCUAAAGGGCAUCUCUAGGGUGUACAGGUUCAAAAGACUGCUUAAGAACGAUGAAGGCAGGCUUUUGAGGGAGGGGAUAAUACUCUGAGAAAUUUGAACAUUUUACAGAUUUUCUUGCAAUAAGUGGGGUCAAGGUAUUGGCUUCCUGAAGUGAGGUACAACAAAGAAUGGAGGAACGAGUCAAAAUCAUCUAAAAAUGUAAAAUGAUUCAAUUUUCCGUGAGCGGUGAAGCGUUUCACAUUUUCCCGUAAUCUAACUUCCUGAUCCAUGAUUGGGGAAAUGAUAAAUUCCCCCUUGAAAGCCACAGUCAACAAUGCAGGACUGCAACUCCCAGGAAUAGAGCUUGUGUUGAUUCUGCUUAUAUCACUUCUCUUCCCUGCAUCAACAAAGGCUCCAUUGAUUAGUUGUUCCAAGUACUUCUCAGUAAUUGCCUCGUUGUUGUCUGGAAUGAAACCUUCAGCUAUCCACAACUGAUAUAAUUGCUUGGUUCAUAUCUCAAAGUGUACGCGAAACACAGAUAAGUAGAGACAACAAAGUUUCAAGUAAAAAGGUAACAUACAAUAUGCAACGACUUGAAGCCCUCGGGGUUCAUCAAGUGCUUCCUCUAUAUUUUCUUUCAGUGAGAUGCUUCCAUGAUAUAAGAUGUGGAAAGGCCAUCCUUGGUAUGUAACUCUCAAUGGUCCUCCAGUGGGCACAAAAUCAAGCCCAAUGUUCUCUCCAUUUUCGAACUGAAAUGAGGUGACGAUCUCAAUUUGACUGAGUGUUAUCAAUACUCUACUUCCAAUCUGAUUAUCGGGAAGUAUUCUCGAAUAACAUCCCAUACUGAUAUUCUCCACACAUUAUCAAGCACAAUCAAAUACCGCUUGGUCAUUACAUAUUCAUGAAGAAUAAUUUUUUUCAUUUCCGAACUUUCUUUCAUAAUUUCACUUAACCUACGUGAAGGCAUCACAAACUUAAUAAUGUCGUAUAAUAUUUGGUCAGCAUCAUAUAGUAAAGACUCUUCAACCCAAGCGUGACAAUCAAAAUAAUGCUUCACAUAGUUGCUGCUGUAAGCCUCUGCGGCGAAAGCCGUCUUGUCCAAUCCAAUGCUAUCAAGUACGGCCACUACCGAAAGUUGAGGCGGUCCCUCUAUCAAUAGAUCUAAUAACUCCUCCAUUCUAUUAUCUAGACCCACCGUGUCCCUAUCCUUAAAAGAUGAGGAUGCAGGAAAAUUACCGGCUUUUGCUUCAAUCGAUUUGAGCCCAUCAAUGAUUCCGGAGUGGAUGUGCUGAACUUGCUGCAUCCGUUGUUUUAUAUCAAUGAUNNNNAUUUUGUCAAUGAUAGCCUUAAAAUCUUCUAAUUCUGCAAGAGUUUGACCCUCUUUUGCAUUGACUUGCCACAUAAACCAAGCAGUGUUGUAUCCACAGUCCCUCAGCCAAGAAGCAAUGAUUUCAGUCUCAGUGUAAAGGUUCUGAAUAGGUUGUUUAGCAGCAUCGGGCACUGUGAAUUCUUCACCAGCUGGCACCCUUCUCAGUCUCUCUGAAAAUAGUCCAAGGUUGAUGUCCAUAUCUCCUUCACUCUCAGUAGUCAGUAGCCAGCAGCUCUAGCAUGCAAAGAAAAUAAUUAUAAAAAAAAAAGUUAAAAGCUCUCCUUUUACUUCAACAUUAGUCAACAUAAUCAACUGAGGAUGGCACCAAUACCUCAUUCUAUUAAGAAGUUGAAUCAAGUUCAGGUGGUUGUCAAAGUAGAAUAGAUCAAGGCAGAGCAGUACUGGAAAAUGAAUCUUAAAACUAAAUGCUGCAGGUGCCGUGGGGAUACUGAUUGAUAAGAGGAAUUAUAUUGAGAAAUUAUUGAUGUACAAUAAUGAUUUUCUGCACAAAAUCUGAGGUAUAAUGUAUGUGUACAUAAAAUAUUCUUUAUGCAAGAAGAUAAAAGGGUGUCUUAUAAUUUGUGUUUUAUAUAUAUGUGUAUGAAGAAAGUAAAAUAGGCUAUCAAGACUAGUUUCUUUUUUGCCCUAUCAAAAGACUGAAAGAUUAAAAAUAAUUCCACUGGGACCAUAAAACUUGUCUAGAGAGAAAAAGCAUCACCUUAGAAUCUGAUUCAUGUUAAGAAAUUGAGUUUUCUCCCAAGAUCACUACAAAUAAUUUGUCAAGAAAUAAAUUAACAGAAAAAAUUAAACGGAGAAUACAUCAGUCACACAUCACAAGAUUUACAUGGAAAACUCUAAAUCCGGAAGAAAACCACGGCUGUUGUCAAAAGACAACCAGAGAAAAAAAUAUUCAUUAUGUAGAAAAUUAUUACAACCACACUCUCAGAAAUAAUUUCUCUCACCCAAGCCCCAAAUACAUGAUCCCGAAAAAUAUUCUUUAACAAAACAAACCCGUAAUACCCAUAUUGAGGAGCCAAAUACUCCUAUUGAAUGCUCUUAAUUGGAUACAAAAGUGAGGAGGAGAACCCUCCUAUUUAUAGGCAAAAACUUGCAUAAUUAUGCCCACCAAUUUUGAUCAAAAUUGGUGGCUUAGCCAUCAAAUUUGAUGAACAAAUUUUGGUCAACAAAUUUGGUGGUUAAGCCACCAAAUUUGAAGCCACCUUUCUUUUUUUUAAAUCAAUUUUCAACAAUUCAUUGAUGCAUCUAAUGCAUAAUAGUUGCUAUUGUUAGAGAUUUUCUUUUCAAGCGCUCUACAGACUACAACAGAAUACGUUAUAGUUUGAAUCGUUAGAUGAUCAUUCCAAUAGGGCUAAAGGUGUUCAUGGAUUAGAUUCAGAUAUAUAUGAUUCCAUCUGAUUUGGAUUUGGAUGUUGCCAUAUAUAUCCGAUUGGAUAAAAUUUGUGCAUCUGAUGGAUUGGAUCCACUUUAAUUUAAACAAUUUGAUUGGGAUUGCACUACUAUAUAUAUAUAUAGGAAAAUGCUUAACGUCGGGAAGGCUGAGAGAACCCUGAGAGAAACGGCAGCUUGUGCUACCGUUUCCCGCAUGUUCUCUUAGCCCCACCCCCACUUUACUUUAAGCAUUUCCUCUUUUGUUUUUUAUAUUAUUUUAUCUCUCUUUUAUUUUUUUCUUCUUUUAUCUUCUUCUUCUUCUCUUUUUUCUUUCUCUCUCUUUUGCAAUUUCUUCGUUACUUAUCUCCAUCAUCAAUUUCAUCUUCUUCAUCAACAACAUCAUCAUCACAAUUAUCUUUAAAAUUCUAGUUAUACAAUCCAAGAGGGGGGUGAAUUGGAAUUCUAAAAAUUAUUCAAUUUAUAAAGAAAAACUUAAUGCAAAUAUAAACCAAAUUCAAAGUAAUAACAAAUAAGUUGAUCACAAUAUAAAAAGAUAAGGGAAGAGAGAUUCAAACACAGAGAUUUUUACGUGGUUCGACCAACCUCGCCUACGUCCACGCCUCCAAGCUUUCCGGGCUUGAGGAUUCCACUAAGCAAGCAUCCAAGGCUUCAAAUGCUUACACUUGACUUCCAACAUGUCAAUAACCUUUACAACAAGAGAUUAUCCCAAUCUCUUUAAUCCAAGUGUAUCCCAACACUUACAAUCACUCAAAAUAAAAGAUUACAAAUUUGUUUUGCCUCUCACAAUAUUUAAGAUUACAAAAUGAUGCCCAAUAUGUGAAUAGAUGAAGCAAGAAUGUGUUCAAAGCUCUAUGAAGAUUGUAUUCUCGAGUAUAAGCUCAAUAGUCGUGUUGUGAUCAGAUUUGUUUGAAUUUGAAUGAGCUUAUUUAUAGUUGGAGCUGAAAAAACUAGCCGUUACAAACUGUCUGCCCGAAAACGGUUCGCCGUUAAGCAUUAACGGUUAACCGUUUAGGCUGGUCAAAAGUUACCGUUGGGCCAAAUUUCAAAUAAAUGGUUUGCCAUUUAGGAUUACUCUUUCGCCGUUAAAUUUCAGAGACCUGCAAGAUAAACACCAGUUAUCCGUUUACAUUAAACGGUUAAGGAUUUGCAUGAAGUGACUUCUCUGGAUAUUAUCGGUUAACCGUUUGUAAUAAACGGUUCGCCGUUUGUUUUCAGUUACCUGCAAAAUAAUUUAGCCUUAUCCGGUUUUAUUAAACGGUGCCAGAAGAGUGCAACCUUCAAUUCUGGAUUUUAUCGGUUAACCGUUUAAAUAAACGGUUCACCGUUAAAUUUCAAUAGCCUUCCCAGCUUUUUGUGUUUUCCGUUUUUCUUAAUCGGUUAGAGCUUAGGCAAUAUGUUGCUCUCUGGUUUUAAUCGGUUAACCGUUUGAAAGAAAACGGUUCACCGUUUAUUUCCAGAAUCACAUUUUAAACCAGAUUUUGCAGAGAAUCAUUUUCUAAUUUGAAAGACCAUCUUUUAUGAAUAUGAUUAGAAUGAUUAUAAGGCUUUCGUUUAUUAAGGAAUAGCUUCAACAUUUUAAUAAAAAAUCAUUUAAAGUUUGUUAUCAUCAAAAUCAAUAUUAUUAACAUAUUCAUGUUAACAAUCUCCCCCUUUUUGAUGAUGACAAACUUUAUUCAAUAUUUUGCUCCCCCUUAAUAUAUGCUCCCCCUAAAUGUAUGGCCAAAUUAAGAAAUGUCCAAUAAAAAGACUUUUGCUCGAGAAAAUAUUUUUAAAUUCAUUUUAAAUCUCCUCAUAAUUAUCUCCCCCUUCAUCAUCAAAAAGAAAAGAGAGAAAGGAAAAUCGCAAAUCCGUUAAAGAAGUUACCCGAUUUUGGCGAGUGAAAAUUUUGGCAGAGUUUCCCCUUAAAAUGGAUCAAAACCACUAAUACAAAAUGAGAUUAAAACACUUACAAAAUAUAUUAACAACAACUCCAUCAUUCAACAAACCAACAACGCCAUGAACAAACAAACCAACAACUCCAUUAACCAAUAAACCAACAAUUUCAUCAACCAAUAUCAAGUCAUCCAACAUCAAGAACAUCAUAAAAACAUGUCAUCAAAAUCCAUAAAGAGCAUAUAGAGGUAGCAAUGUAUAUAAAAAUAUAAAUGGCAACACGCAAACAACCAAAAUAUGAAAUGUAUGUGCGAAAAUAGAAUUCAGAAACUAUGGAGGUGGAGAAGAUGUGCUCCCCGGAUCAUAGCCAAAAUAGUGGAGAAGAGUGUGCUGUCCAGCGAUAAGCUCAUGCUACUGAUCAAUGCUCUGCUACUGGAAGGUCUGAAAGUCAGAACGUAACUGCUGGUGGUCACGGGAAAAAGUGUCCAACCGAUCAAGAAUCAGCUGCUGGCGCUCCGAAAUUCGGUGAACAUCAGCAAUCAACUGCUGCACAACAUCUGAAGCAUGGGGCUGAACUAGAGCUGGAGGUGGUUCAGAGGCAGAUGGGUGCUCAGGAACAUCAGAUGGCUCAGGAGCAGGAGGCUGCUUGGGAGCUAGAGGCGGCUCGGAAGAGGAGGGAAUAUCAGCACCCAUCGCACGCUCCUCAGAGUCAGAGUCAGCUGAAGGCCAAGGGACAAAACGGCGAUGAGGAGGAUGAGGAUGAGCUCCUAAUCUAAAAUCUGGAAGCUUAUUGGGAGGAUAGACAUCGUUGAGCAUCCGAUCGUCCUCUGGAGCAAUCAAGGUAUCCCGGUUUUUGGAGUUGUUUGUCUUUAUCCACUCACCAUUCUUCCUAGUAAAACCGAUACUAGUCAUGGCCUCAGGACCAAUCCCUCUAGUCUCCAUAUAAGUGGUAUCAAGAAGAGGCACCUCAAAGCGUCGUAGUAUCUUAGUAAUGAUACUGCCAUAUGGAAGCAAGUGGUGGUUAACUGCGGGAGUACUCAACAUGUGCCGCACAAUAACAUAGCCGAGGUUAAUGGGACGGCUUGAAAUGAGACUAUCUAAUAGGCCAACGUCCAACCUCGUAACCUCAUCCGAGUGAACCUUCCUAGGUGUCACUAUGUGCUGUAAAAUAGUGUGAAGAAUGCGAACUUGGAGAGGUAAAAGUUGAGACCGAAAAGGUAGAAGACAGAUCUCAUCAGACAAGUCUCGACGACGACAAAUAUUACGGACUCCAUCAGUAUGAUAAAAACUGUAAAAAAAAAGGGCUUUCCUAGAGGUGUAAAUAUCAUGACCCUCACUAGAGAUACCAAGAAAGUCAGCUAGGUCCGCAUCAUCAAAUUCAAUAGGCACAUCGCCGACUUGAGUAACUAUCCUAUUUAGGCGAGUUGCGAAGAUUUCCAUGUUCGAAUAAAAGACUCGUACUAAGUUGGGAUAAACUCGGUCAUCAAAGUCAAUGGCAGACUCCCAAGGCUGAAGCAUAUCCCUAAUACUUCUACCACAUACAACUAAGGUACUGAAAUCAUCUAUUUCAACAUAAGAAGAGUCAAGUACCUUUCGACCAUUGAAGCGAUUCUCGAACCGCUUGGCCAAGGAAGGCAUGGGGAAAUGAAUUAUUGCGAAUUCAGAGACUUCCCGUAGUGGUAUAGGGUUCCUUGGAGGCACAGAUUUUCGCCUGAGAUUUCUCCGAGGGGGUGCAGCCAUGGUGAAGCACAAAGGAGUUUGAAAAUUACUGGAGAGAUGUGAUGAGAAGAAGAUGAAUCGAUUAUUUGCUUAGGAAUGAGUAAAUGAUGUGAUUUUGAUGCUUAAUUUGGCUGAAGAAGGGGAAGAAUCGGGUUAAAAAGGAAGAAACCCGAGCGGCCGCAGUUAGGGUUUAGAUUUGGGAUUUUUCAAUUUUGGGCUUGAUUUGAGGAUUUGAAUCGGUGAAAGUGUUCUAAAGGUGAUAAGAAAUGAUGUUAUAGGUUUGAUUUGACAAGAAAAACAAGAAAAAUGAAGGUUUGAGGGGAGAGGAGGAUUCGGCUGUGCAACAAUGGCCGAAACGGUGAAGGGGCAACUGGAGAAGGAGAAGAAAAAACCUUUGAACAGUUUUAUAAUCACGAAAAUGGUUAACCGUUUAUUUAAACGGUUAAGGGGUAACUUCCAGAGGCUAAAGAAUGGGAAACGGUUAAAGGUUAAACUCUUAACGGCUGAGGAGUAACUGCUAGCGAGCUCUCUGAUUUUAAACGGUUUACCGAUUGCAACAAACGGUAAAAGGGUUAAAAGGCAGUCAACUUAAUCGAGUUUUUGGAAUAAAAUGGUACACCGUUUAUUGGAAACGGUUAGCCGUUUAUUUUAUCAAUAAUUUCGCACAUUUGAUUUAAUUUUUUGCCAGCAAAUAAUACAUUCCAAGAUCAUUUAAUUGAUCUAAAAAUGUUUCAUGAGCCAUUUUAAUGCAUGAUUCAUGAACAUGUAUUGAAGCAAUUAAUUCAUAUAAUCAAUCAAGAAUUAACAAAGCAAGCACAUCAUUUGAAUAUCAAGCUUAAGCAUUUAAAUCAUCAAUUCACCAAGAAGUCAAUCAAUUCAAUACACUCAGUAGCAUGAAUAGUAACGUUAAUGUGAAAAUUUCAUCAUUCCAAGUUCAUGCUGAAUCUUUGAAAAUUGUUCUUCACCAAGAGGUUUGGUAAAAAUAUCCCCCUUUUGAACAUGAUCUCUCAAGAAAUGAUGUCUUAUUUCUAUAUGCUUGGUUCGAGAGUGUUGAAUAAGAUUCUUUGAAAGAUUUAUAGCAUUAGUAUUAUCACACUUAAUAGGAAUUUGUUCUAGGUUAAUACCAUAGUCUCUAAGUGUUUGUUUCAUUCAAAGAGCUUAUGCACAAUAACUUCCUGCAGCUAUAUAUUCGGCCUCUGUAGUUGAGAGUACAACAGAAUUUUGUUUCUUGCUAAACCAUGAAACAAGUGAGUGACCUAGGAUAUAGCAUGUUCCACUAGUGCUUUUCCUAUCAACGUUAUAACUGGCAAAAUCCGCAUCCGAAUAACAUGUUAAAUCUAUAUGAGUUCCCCUAGGAUACCAAAGGCCAAUAUCUACGGUUCCACUCAAAUAACGGAAAAUUCUUUUAAUAGCAAGCAAAUGAGAUUCCUUGGGACAAGAUUGAAAUCUUGCGUACAAGCAUACACUAAACAUGAUAUCGGGUCUACUUGCAGUUAAAUAAAGUAAAAAUCCGAUCAUACCUCGAUAUAUUUUUAUAUCUACUUCCUUGCCUUUUUCAUCUUUGUCAAGUUUGGUUAUUGUGCUCAUUGGAGUGUUUUUGGUCUUUGAGUCAUCAAUGCUGAAUCUUUUGAGUAGAUCUUUUACAUACUUGGCUUGAUUUAUGAAAAUUCCUUUCUCAUUUUGUUUUAUUUGCAGCCCAAGGAAGUACUUCAACUCUCCCAUUAUACUCAUUUCAAAUUCAUUACUCAUGUAAGAUGAAAAUUCUUUACACAACAAUUCAUUAUUAGAACCAAAAAUAAUAUCAUCAACAUAAAUUUGAACAACAAGUAUGUCUUUUUCCUUAUGUUUGACAAAUAAAAUAGUAUCCGCUUUACCCAUUGAAAAAUCAUUUUCUAAUAAGAAAUUCUUAAGUCUAUCAUACCAUGCUCUAGGUGCUUGUUUUAAGCCAUACAAAGCUUUAAAUUACUUAUAAACAUGAUUUGAAAAUCUUUCAUUUUCAAAACCAGGGGGUUGUUUUACAUACACUUCUUCCAUUAUAAAACCAUUCAAAAAGGCACUUGUCACAUCCAUUUAAAAUAAAAUAAAAUCUUUAUGACAUGCAAAUGCCAACAAUAUUCUAAUUGAUUCUAGUCUAGCUACGGGUGCAAAUAUUUCAUCAAAAUCAAUUCCUUCUUCUUGGUUGUAACCUUGAGCCACUAAUCUAUCUUUAUUCCUUACAACCACACUGGAUUCAUCCAUCUUAUUUCUAAAUAUCCAUUUAGUACCUAUGACGGAUUGAUGUUCCGGUUUAGGAACUAAUUCCCAUACAUUGUUUCUUUCAAAUUGAUUUAACUCCUCUUGCAUUGCCAUAAUCCAAGAUCAUCAUUUUCCGCAUCCGCAAAGGAUUUGGGUUCAAUUUGAGAAAUAAAUGCAUUAUGCUCACAAGUAUUUCUAAGAGAUGAUCUAGUUGUAACACCUCGUGAGGGAUCUCCUAAAAUUACAUCCUUAGGGUGAGAAGAAACAUACCUCCACUCCUUGGGAAGUGAUUGAGAUGCACUUUCAUUGUGUUCUACAUUCAUUUCUUCAUGUUGCUCAUCUUGAUUCCCAUGAGACGUAUCCUUUUGGUUAUCUUUUGAUGAUUCUUUUUUUAAGUCUUCAUCUACAUCAUUAUCAACAACAACUUUCUCCGUAGAUGAGGGGUUAGACUCAUCAAAAGUAACAUGCAUAGAUUCUUCUACAACUAAUGUAUUUUUGUUAUAAACUCUAUAAGCUUUGCUUGAGUUUGAAUAUCCAAGAAAAAUACCAACAUUAGAUUUUGGAUCAAAUUUGCCAAGAUUGUCUUUUGUGUUCAAAAUAAAACAUUUGCAUCCAAACACUUUGAAAUAACCAAUGUUGGGUUUUCUAUGUUUCUAAAGCUCAUAUGGAGUUUUGUUAAGGUUAAGUCUAAUCAACACACGAUUUAAAACAUAACAAGCGGUGUUGACGGCCUCGGCCCAAAAAUACUUAGGCAAUGAAUUUUCAUUCAACAUAGUCCUAGCCAUUUCUUGAAUGGAUCUAUUCUUUCUCUCAACAACUCCAUUUUGUUGUGGAGUUCUAGGUGAUAAAAAUUGAUGCUCAAUGCCAAAAUCAUUACAAAAAAUCUCAAAUGCAUGAUUUUCAAACUCUCCUCCAUGAUCACUCCUAAUGCAUGCAAUACCAUACCCUUUUUCAUUUUGUAUUUUCUUACAAAGCACUUUAAAGGUAUCAAGAGCAUCAUCUUUAUUGGCUAAGAAUAAUACCCAUGUAUAUCUAGAAUAAUCAUCCACUAUCACAAAUGCAUAAUAUUUGUAAUUUAAACUAGCAUAUCUAGAGGGUCCAAAUAAAUCUAUGUGAAGAAGUUGAAGUGGUUUUGAAGUAGAAAUACGAUUUUUAUUUUUGAAAGAUGUUUUGAUUUGUUUUUCAAAUUGACAAGCUUCACAAAUCUUAUCUUUUUGAAAACCAAUUUUUGAAAGACCUUUAACUAAAUCAUUUUUCAAAAUUUUUGAAAUCAAAUCCAUACUUGCAUUUCCUAACCUUCUCUGCCAUAACCAACUAUCAUCAUGCAAUGCCGAAAAACAUUUAUCAAGAGUAGAUGCACAUUCUAUGUCAAUGAUAUAAACAUUACCACAUCUAUUCCCACUUUUCAGUCAUGUGCCUUGAACAACCAUUGUCCAAGUAUCAUUUAUUUUUCUUCUUCUUUAAGCCCUACAAGAAAAAUCUCAAGUUUUAGGUACCCAAAGCUUUUUUGGUCCUUGAGAGUUAGCAACGGUUCCUUUUGGAACCCAAAUACAUUUGACACCAUAAUAUGCAUUCCUUUUCACGGGACAUCUAUAUUUCAUGUGACCAUUUUGAUUACAAUAAUGGCAAACAAUCUUAUGAUCACGUGUGGAGGUAGCUUUAACAAAAUAAUUCUUAUAAUACUUUUGCUUCAAGUUAGGCUUAUACCCAAGUCCUCCUUUAUCAAAAACACAUUUUUGUGAGUUAAGCAUAUUAUCCAACAUCUUUUGCCCAUUUGUAAAUUUCAAAACAAUUUCAUUCAAUUCAUUACUCUUUUUCUUGAGCAUUUCGUUCUCAUUUUUCAACUCAUCUAUGUGUGAUUCUAAAUGCUCAUGUGAGAUGCUAGGUUUCUCAUUUGAUAAUGCAAUUUCAUCAUGCAAUGUUUUGUUCUCUAUUUCUAGGCAUGCAAUUCUUGCAUUUAGAGAUUCAUUUUCAUUUUUAAGCUUUGCCAUUUCCUUUUUAAGACAUACAUUCUUUUUACCAAUCUUCAUCAACUCAUUAUGCAAUUCUUUAAAAGCAUCAUACAAUUCAUCAUUGGUGGGAUCACUUACCUCAUUGAGAUCAUCAUCCCCUCUUAUUGCCAUAAGCACUAGGUUUGAUACUUCUUGCAAUCCUUCUUCAUCACUUGAAUCUUCCUCGCUAUCAUCCCAAGUUGCAACCAAUGCUUUCUUCUUGAGUUUUUUGAUAAGUGGGCACUCCGAUCUUAUAUGGCCAUGCUUCUUGCAUUAAUAGCAUGUGAUUACCUCUUUCUUCUCCCUUUGGUUCUUGAAGUUUCUGAAAUUUCUUCGCUCUACGGUUUUCUUGAAGAAUUUUCUGAACCUGCUUGCUAGCAUGGCUAGCUCUUCAUCAUCCGGUUCACUCUCCCCAUCACUCUCAUAUUUUGAAGAUUUGAGAGUAAUGCUUUUCUUCUUCUCCUCAUGCCCUUUUUCUGCUGCCAAAUCUUCUUCAUAUGAAAUGAGAGAACCAAUUAAAUCAUCGAGGGCUAAAGUAUUUAAAUCUUUGGCCUCUUCAAUAGCGGUUCUUUUUGGUCUCCAUUCUUUUGGAAGUGACCUAAUGAUUUUCUUAACUUUUUUGCUAUUUGAGAAGGUCUUUCCUAAGGCUCUUAGGGUGUUUACUAUGUCCGUAAAUCUCGUAUACACAGAGUACACACUCUCAUUUUAUUCCAUUUGGAAUAACUCAUGUUGUCGAGUGUACCUACUAAUUUUUGACUCUUUCACUUGAUUUGUGCUUCAAGUUUGUGCUAAAUUUCAUUGGCACUUUCACAACUAGAUACUCGAUGAAAUUCUUUUUUAUCAAGUGCACAAAAUAAAGCAUUCAUAGCUUUGGAAUUUAGAGAAGCUUUUCUCUUUUCCAAUUCAUUCCAUUCCGUUGAAGGUUUUGGAAUAUCUUCCCCGAAUUCAUUUUUAGUUAGGGGCAAAAACAGACCAUCGCGUACAACUUCCCAAAUUUCAUAAUCUAAAGCUUGCAAAUAGAUUCUCAUUCUAGUUUUCCAAUAUGCAUAGUCAUUACCGUCAAAGAACGGUGGUCUAGUUGUGGAUUGCCCUUCUCUAAAGGUUGAGUCAUUUAGGGUUGCCAUAGAUCUUUUACUCUAGACGAUUAAGUCCUAAUAAGAGAACAAGGCUCUGAUACCAAAUGAAAUUCUAGUUAUACAACCCAAGAGGGGGGGGUGAAUUGGAAUUCUAAAAAUUAUUCAAUUUAUAAAGAAAAACUUAAUGCAAAUAUAAACCAAAUUCAAAGCAAUAACAAAGAAGUUGAUCACAAUAUAAAAAGAUAAGGGAAGAGAGAUUCAAACACAGAGAUUUUUACGUGGUUCGACCAACCUCGCCUACGUCCACGCCUCCAAGCUUUCCGGGCUUGAGGAUUCCACUAAGCAAGCAUCCAAGGCUUCAAAUGCUUACACUUGACUUCCAACAUGUCAAUAACCUUUACAACAAGAGAUUAUCCCAAUCUCUUUAAUCCAAGUGUAUCCCAACACUUACAAUCACUCAAAAUAAAAGAUUACAAAUUUGUUUUGCCUCUCACAAUAUUUAAGAUUACAAAAUGAUGCCCAAUAUGUGAAUAGAUGAAGCAAGAAUGUGGUCAAAGCUCUAUGAAGAUUGUAUUCUCUAGUAUAAGCUCAAUAGUCGUGUUGUGAUCAGAUUUGUUUGAAUUUGAAUGAGCUUAUUUAUAGUUGGAGCUGAAAAAACUAGCCGUUACAAACUGUUUGCCCGAAAACAGUUCGCCGUUAACCAUUAACGGUUAACCAUUUAGGCUGGUCAAAAGUUACCGUUGGGCCAAAUUUCAAAUAAACGGUUUGCCGUUUAGGAUUACCCUUUCGCUGUUAAAUUCCAGAGACCUGCAAGAUGAACAUCAGUUAUCCGUUUACAUUAAACGGUUAAGGAUUUGCAUGAAGUGACCUCUCUGGAUAUUAUCGGUUAACCGUUUGUAAUAAACGGUUCGCCGUUUGUUUCCAGUAACCUGCAAAACAAUUUAGCCUUAUCCGGUUUUGUUAAAUGGUGCCAGAAGAGUAUAACCUUCAAUUCUGGAUUUUAUCGUUUAACCGUUUAAAUAAACGGUUCAUCGUUAAAUUCCAGUAGCCUUCCCAGCUUUUUGUGUUUUCCAUUUUUCUUAAUCGGUUAGAGCUUAGGCAAUAUGUUGCUCUAUGUUUUUAAUCGAUUAACCAUUUGAAAGAAAACGGUUCACCGUUUAUUUCCAGAAUCACAUUUUAAACCAGAUUUUGCAGAGAAUCAUUUUUUAAUUUGAAAGACCAUCUUUUAUGAAUAUGAUUGGAAUGAUUAUAAGGCUUUCGUUUAUUAAGGGAUAGCUCCAACAUUUUAAUAAAAAACCAUUUAAAGUUUGUUAUCAUCAAAAUCAAUAUUAUUAACAUAUUCAUGUUAACAAUCUUCUUUUUCCUCCUGUUAGUUUUGUUUCUUCUUCUCCAUCAACAUCAAAAUUUGGUUUCAUCUUCUUGUAUAAUUAAAAGGCAAGCACCCCUUUGACUUGGAAUCAAAAAAUCGAAAUCAAUACAGGUGUUGUUCUUCAUUUUUUUGGGUUUUUUAGAACAAAAAAUAGGGGAAAUACACUUGGAAUAAUGGAGAGACCGGACGAAGUGACGAACCGGACUGGUGGUGUCUGUCGUGAUGAGCUGAAGAGAAAGAGGUGGUUGUCGGUAACGAUGCCAUUGAUGAGAGAGAGUGCCGAUGAAAUUGAGGGAAGGGAGAAGAUACAGUAGUUUCUGGUGCUGGAGAGAUGAGUUGACUGCAACAAAAGGCUGACUGCAGCAAAUGUUAUGUUAAAAAGAAAAGAGAAAGUAACGUGGGAGGUGGGGCCAAGAGAACACGCGCGAAGCGGCAGCACAAGCUGUCGUUUCUCUUAGGGUUCUCUCAGCUUUCCCGACGUUUAGCACUACUCGUAUACUGCUGUACGGCCAAGGCGGAUGUACGGUACAGCAGCCCUUUCAAAUUUUUGUCUGAAAUAUUUAUCAGAUCCGAUUUAUUUUAAAUCCGAUCGAUUGUAUUUGAGAUUCAGGUUGGAUUCGAAUGAUUUUUUUUCCUAAUCCAAACAAUUCAAAAUCCAAUCGCACUUAUCCAAAUCUAAAGUGCAAUAUUCAUCUCUUUUUCAUAUAUCCUUUGCUAAAUGAAAGUAAUCAUGAUGUCGGGCCCUUCUUUAAAAAAAUAAUAAAAAUCUUCAAUUUAUAUGCAACUCCUUUCUCAUUAUUACUCUUCUUUGUGUUCGACUAUUGUAGUGCUUUUUCUUCUGAGAUAAACUUUAUAGUCCCUAGUGUGAUUGUUUUUACCUUUUCUUUCUUGAAAGUGGAUAAAACAAAUUGAUCUUUGAUUGAUACUUGAUGAUGUCCUAUUUUCUUUUUAUUUUCAUAUUUCUUUUUUCUAACAUAUUGGGGUACGCAAUUGAAAUAGAGGUUCAUUUGUCACAACAGUCCACGCUAAUAUAGACUAUCAAGUUGUGACAGGAAUUAGUCCAUUUGUGCAGCCACAUGACAACAUUUAAAGUCGUCCCACUGCAAGCAAAUAAAAUUAGGUGCCACGGAUUUAAUGGGACAAUCAAUAAAAUUAUGUCCACUGUUUUUUAUUUACUCAUAGUUUAUAAUUAAGUUUUAGAAUAAAUAUGUGACUAGAUUUUAUUUGACAAAGAAAUUGCGUACACUCGUAUGCAACUGUGACAUCUAACUAUCUCUACCAUUUCCAAACCAGAACUUCUAUGUCAUGUUUAAAACACGAGCAAGGAAUUUUAAGUUGGAGAAAGACUUUAGGUAGAAUAGAGACACAAUAUAUGAAAAAGUAAAUGUAUGCGUUAUGAGAUUUUCGAAGACAAGCAUAUUUGUUGACUCGGUAGUUACAUCGAAGUCUUACUCUUCGAGUUAAGUCAACGGUGCAAAAUUCAUGGAAUCUGCAUUUAAUUGUCUGGCUAAUGGGUUCUCAAAUUGCAAAUGAAAGAUAAAAAGCUUUGGUUACACACACACACCCAAAAAGAGAAAAAAAAAUGCCGCCACUGGGCUAGAUACUGUUUAGGAAAUGAAAUAUGGUGACUAAGAUAAAGGUGUUUGCUCAUACAUUAUCGUGCUCUCCUCAAAGUAAAAGUGAGCAAAUGGUUGAGCAGAUCACCUCGACCAGGAUGUUGUUUGGUGACCUCGAGCACAUCACCUCGACCAGGAUGUUAUUGGUCACCUCGAGCCGAUCAUCUCGACCAGGAUGUUAUUGGUCACCUCGACCAGAAUAAUAUGUGGUGACCUCGAGCACAUCACCUCGACCAGGAUAUUAGUGCUCACCUCGACCAGAAUAAUAUGUGGUGACCUCGAGCACAUCACCUCAACCAGGAUGUUAUUGGUCAACUCGACCAGAAUAAUAUGUGGUGACCUCGAGCACAUUUUCUCGACUAGGAUGUUAUUGGUCACCUCGACUAGGAAGUUACCAGGAAGCACGAUUCAGUCAAAACAUUUUCUCCGAAAUAUUAGGGACCAUAUUCUUAGUGGGCUGAAAAUUAGUAAAAAUUAGUAGUUUUCUUGAGAAUUCUAGGGGAGAGGAUAAAAACCGCUAUAGUUUCCUAUAAAAACCCUAGGAAGGGGAAGGAAAAAAGGGAUUCUUCUAGCUCUCUCUCUCUCUCUAGGCAACUGAAUCCAUUGGACCUUUUUCUCUCUCUACCACUGGAAAAUUUCUCUUUCGCUUAGGAUUUUUUUAAGAUUAAUUAUUCUCAGUUAUUUUCCUUUAAAUUUACUUAAAAGCUUUUUUGUUUAAAGCAAUCAUAAUUAAUUCACAUGAAUUGUGGUAUGGAUUUUUCCAAGUAAGACCCAAAUCGCUGACUUGAGCAUCGGAGGGUUCUUGCCAGAAAAACUUUCGGCACUUUCUGACUGUUGGUUGUGCUCACAGGCUCACAGGUUAUCUGCUCAUGAGUUCUCUGCUCAUGGAUCGUCUGCUCAUGGAUCAUCUGCUCAUGAAUUGUCUGCUCAUGGGUUGUCUGCUCAUGGAUUGUCUGCUCAUGGGUUGUCUGCUCAUGGAUCGUCUAUCCAUAGAUUAUUUGCUCAUGGAUUGUCUGCUCAUAGAAUAUCUGCUCAUAGAAAUUCUGCUCAUGGUGUUAACUAAUCAGCAGCUUCCCACCAAACAAAUUUAAUGCUGAUGCAGGGAUUUGAGAUUCGAUCCACUCAUCCGGAUUUCGGCAUCAACAGAUACAAUUAGCUGAAAUGAGGAUAUUAAAAAGAACACGUGCUCUAUUUAAUUGGUAGAGUAUUAAUGGAGCUUGUGUAAUUGUACAUUUACUGUUUUUUAAGGUUAUUUUUCAUAUAGUAGAAAGAUCAUAAAAUGUUUUUAUUGAAUUACACUCAUUUAAUGUAUGUAUGAUAUAUAUGCGUAUGAAUUAAAUAUAAAUAUAGAUAAAGGACAGUGUAUGCCAGCAAGAAAACUUUUUCUCUAGAUUGAAAAUGAUUUAAAAGAACCAUUUUUCUCCCACUAAUAUCUUCAAAAUCAUUAUUGUUAAUAACAGAACCCAAAAAAUAAUUAAAUAAUCUCUUGUUUAAUAUGUUGCAUGCUUGCAGAAAAUUGCGGAUGAUUGAACCAAUAAUUCAACCUUUACUCCAUGAGCUUUAAACUAAUAAUCUGUCAUCAGUUAUUGUCUAAAUAAAGAAAUUUAUGAAUCGGUAUAAAAUGGGGUCCCAAAUCCUGACCUACAUUGAAAAUUAGGAUAUGAAAUUUGUAACAAAUCUUAUAUAGGGUUUGUAUCUCGAUUGUUAUCUGGAUAAUUUUGCCAGCCUAGGUUCACGUAUUAACAGUUAGAGCGGGAGAUCCCAAAAAAGGGUAUCUUGAAUUUAACCAAAUUCAUUAUAAGGAUAUAUGGACCCAUUUGAUUGCCUAAGGGAUCUCGAAUGAAAUUUUCAAACAUCUCAAAUCCUGCCUUGAUUAUUAAAUUGGAAGAAAACUAGAUCUUGAAUCUCAACUCGAAUAAUAAAUCAGAAUGAGAAAUUUUUAUCAAAUCUUGUAUCAUUUAGGACGGACUCCCAAAUUCCAAUCGAGAUUUGAGGAAUUUUGUAUUAGCAACUAGAGCCGAAGAUCCCAAAAAAUAUCUUGAAAUUAACCAAAUUCACUAUAAGGUAUGAACUCAUUUGAUUGCACCCUUAAAAAGUAUUACAGAUGACACCACACAAUCAUAUUAUUAAAACAAACCAAACCACACAUAUCCAGGCUUAGCAUGUAUAUAUAAGAGCACAAAAAAUAACUUCUUUCUCGUUAUAAAGGAGAACAGAAUCAGCUAGAAGCAGGGGAAUCAAAGUACAACAGAAAAUAAAAGAAAAAAAAUGAUACACAUUCAUUUGUUCAGCAAAAACCAAUGACUAUAAGGUGAGCAUGAGGCAUCAACCUUUAAAAUUGGACAGAAUAAGCUAAUUCCUUAAAAUUCACAUGCUAAUACUAUUUAUAAUUUCUAAGUCCAAAGUUUAAAAUAAUAGGUAGUAUUUGUUCAAAACAAGCAUUUAUAAUUAUUAUUCGGAUGAUUAUUUCAAGAAUCUAAGAUAAUAACAAUCCAGUAUUCAAGUUAUUUAUGAAUGAUUAGGGCUUAAAAUCUCCAUAAAAUUGGAGAUUCUGAAGAUUAGGCAAUAUGUCCCAGUUUCUAUUUCUUGUAUUUAGUCCUCUAAUGUAUCAACAAUCAAUGCUAGAAACCCAAUCCCCGAAAUUGAAUUAAAAAAAUAUAGAAAACAUAGAGCAAAUCAACAGUAGAUUCAGCAGCGAUGAUGCCUACAUCCAAACUUCUCUUCUAAUGGAAGUGAUGCAGAAUUCCCUUAAGAUAAUUAUGACCAUUAACAUGUAUUACACAUGGUACGACCAAACCACACACGUCCACACUGAACUGGAGUUUCAAGCACAUUACGAGAAUGAAGACACACGAAUAGAAUAUACACAGUGAAUCCAAAAACUUGACAUGAUUGCUUGUAGCAGAUCCUUGAAAACAAAGAAACCCAACAAUGUCCUGCAUCAAUCCUGAGGACUCAAUAAUGUGUAGACAACAGAAGUGAAUAUUGAAAGGAUCAAGGCCGGAUUCUAGUUGAAAUUGAAACUUUUGCUGCACUACAGUUGACAAAUUUCCCGGUCUGAUUUCACCUGCGCAAGUAAUUUAAGAUCUGAAAUUAUAGUUUUUCCUCACUGUUCAACGAUCAAUACACAAGGGUUCUGAAAUUAUAGUUUUUCCUGACUGUUCAACAAUCAAUACACAAGGGAAAAUGGUCGGGGUCAACUUCAGGAUCUGUGAUGAACACUUCAUCUCUAAUGUUGAGACAAAAAUUAGAAGCAACCACAAUUAGAAAACACUUUAUAGCAUUAGGAAGCUGCGUACUAUCAAAUAUAUUGAGGAAAAGAAAAAACAUAUGUAUGAAAUUAGAUUAAUAAUUAAAGGUUGAUGAUAUUGCAUAAAAUGAAAAACUUACAUCUAAUUAAAUCCAUGCGAAUCAAAUUCCAUAAGGAUAUACUUGAUUGUCAUACUGCGCCUUAUCCUCAAAGUCUCGUAGCUUUUGUCUCAGCUUCGGCUAAGGCCUCGAAUUUGUUUAAGCUCUUUAUGCACCAAAGCUAUUCAGGAAUCUUUUUCCAGUAAGCACAAGUAUUGAGAAUCAAGCAUUCUAGUUUUGGCCUGGCUCCAAGCCUCAUGGUCCACUCCUCUAGCCAUGGCAUUGAAUUCAGGUGCACUAUCUUGAGCUUUGGGAAACCAUCAGACCUACAAGUCAGCUAUCGACCUGAAUAUGAGUUUUGCUUCAGUUUGAGCACUUGAAGAAGUGGCAACUUUUCUAGUGUUCAAGUGCAGGCAUGGGAUCAUCCAUUUGUUCAGUAUUAGAGAAACUCAAGUGGAUUAGACUUUGACGAAGUAGGUAUUUGGCACAGACGAUUUUGGAGAGCCUUGGCAUCUUGCUUUCAUUCACCAUCUUCAAUGACUAGAUGCAUGAGUUUAUUCAUCUUCCAAAAUUCAUCUACAGUGUAUGAUCUAUUUAGCUAAAGGGCAUGGCUAUGGGGUACAGAUUCAGAGAUUUCUUAAUAAUGAUGAAGCCAGGCUUUUGAGGGAAGGGAUAUUCAGCUUCAAAUAUCAAAAGAAAUAAAGUUUCAAUUUUGGAUGGAAAUUGGCUGAGAACAAGAGAUCCCAAGUCCAUUACUCAACCGAUUUUCACCCAAUCUAUGGGGUCAAGGUGGUCGCUUUCUGAAGUACAACAAAGAAUGCAGGUGCGAGUCACAAUCAUCUAAGUAAGCAAAAUCACUCUGUUUUUAAAAAACGUACACACGUUUGACAUUUUUUCGCAAUUUACCUUUUUGAUCCAGGAUAGGGGAAAAGGUAAAUUUCGCUUUGAGAGCCAUUUGCAACAAUGAAGCCCAGCAACGACUACGAAUAGGGCAUGUGUUGAUUCUACCUCCAUCGCUUCUCUUCUUUGCAUCAACAAAGACUCUAUUCAUUAGUUGUUCCAAGUACUUCUCGGCAAUUGCCUCGCUAUUGUCUGGAAUGAAACCUUCAGAUAUCCACAACUGAUAUAACUGCCUGGUGGAUGUCUCUAGGUGUACAGGAAACAUAGAUAAGUAAGGAAAACAAAGUUUCAAGCAAAAAGGUAAACAACUCUCAAUGGUCCUCUAGUAGGCACUAAAUCAAGCCAAAUAUUCUGUCCACUUUUAAACUGAAAUGAGGUGACGAUAUGAAUUUCAGUGAGUGUUAUUAGUACUCCACUUCCAUUCUGAUUAUCCGGAAGUAUUUCUUGAAUAACAUCCCACACUUCAAUGCUUCACACAUCAUCAACCACAAUCAAAUACCGCUUGAUCAUUAGAUAUUCAUGAAGAAAUUUGUUUUCAUUUCAUAAUUUUUAUCCUUUAUUACACUCAACCUAGAUGAAGGCAUUAGAAACUUAAUAAUGAUAUCUAAUAUUUGGUCAUCAUCACCAUCAUAGCUGUAAGGCUUUGGAACCUAAGCGUGACAAUUAAAAUAAUGCUUCACAUCACUGCUGCAUUAAGCCUCUGCAGCAAAAGCCACAUUGCCCAACCCAACGCUAUCAAGAUGGCCACCACUGAAAGCUGAGGUGGCCCCUCUAUUAAUAUAUCUAACAACUCCUCCAUUUUGUCUUCUAGACCCACCGUGCCCCUAUGUCCUUGUUGAGUGAUGCUGUUGAGAAUGUGUCAAUGACCUUCUCAGAUUCAUAUGUAAAGCAAUUGAUUUCUGGUGCCAAGGUCUGGGUUGUCAAUUUCAUCUUCUCCUAUUUUUUUGCAGCAGAAGCUAGGACAUAUCAUAUUCAAAGUCCCUCAGCCAAGGAGUAACGAUUUCAACCUCGGCACAAAGGUUUUGAAUAGGUUGUUUUGCAGCAUCAGGCAAUGUGACUUCUUCGCUAGCUAACGUCCUUCUCAGCCUCUCUGAAAAUAGUCUGAAGUUGAUGCCCAUAUCUCCUCAAUCCAAAAAUUAGUGCUGGCUCCCAUGCCUCCCUUCUCUUAGCUAGUACUCCACCCAAGCAGUUGAAUCAAGAUUGCUGACUCUCAAAUUAGAACAGAUCAAGGCAGAGCAGUGCGGGAAAUGAAUCUCACGAUACUCAGUCUUCCAUAUGUUGCAAAAAGAAUAAAGCAAAGAGAAAUAACUACAACAUCAUCAAGUAUCAAUCAAGACCAAUUUGUUUUAUACAUCCACUGUCAAUAAAGAAAGGGUGAAAACAAUUCCACUGGGACCAUAAAGCUUAUCUAAAAAGAAAAGAACAGAGUAAGCACAAGAGCAUUAUCAAUUAUUUAACAAUUUAAGCUGUGGAAAAAUAGAAAAUCAUGCCUGCCACUUAUUAAAGAAGCAAUAACAUAGCAACGUCAUAAAAGCAAUGGAUACAAUCAUUGCUAUAUGUUGAAAUUAACUAACUUCACAAUCUGGACAUGAACUCAUUUGAUUGCAACCAUUAAGUAGACUUAUAGAUCACAUGACACAUGAUCUUAUAAAUGGACUAAACAUAACAAAACACACAUCUCCAUGUCCAGGCUUUGGUGGCUACAUAAUUACAAAACAGCAUGUAAGUAUAUAAAUACAGAAAAAAAUUAUAAGACACAAAAUUUGUUCACAAAGUAAGAAAUUACCUCUUGUUGAUGAGUCCAGAAAUGACCGAGGUGUAGUUUUAAUUGAGCUGACGAUCUUCCUCCACAUACAUCACCAUUUUUUCUUUUUUGGACGCAAUGAGACAUGACUUGGCAUCAUUGUCAUUGAAAUACACCAGAUAUUUCUAGAAUGCCUGCGAAUCUAAUUUAUUUCCAAACACACUUGAGAAUUGGGAUUGUCAAUAAAAGAUGAACAUUGAUCAUUGAUGUGUAGGUUUCAAGUAUUUUGUGUAUGAUGCGGAGAUAAAUUAGAACUCUACAUGACCAUCUGAAGAAUUUUUUCUCAAAUGAAUCUUUUGAGUUGGAAUUUAGACAGAUUCACUAUCUAAGUAUCUUGAAGCAGUGGAGAAUACAUAUGACAAAGGUUGAAGUAACUAAUUUUAUGAGCAGGAACUGAAAUGAUUUUGGCAUGAGAUUACAACAGGUGAUUAACAUAUAUGCUUCGUCUAAGGCAGCCUCAUUUUAAGUGUUAUUUCAUCAGGUCAACAAUCUUCAGGAGAAAAAUGAAUCAAGGGCAAUAAAGGAGGUGGUUGAUGCUAGUGAUUCCUGAGUGUAGCAGCAAAAAUAAAACUAAAUUGUAGAUUUGCUGUAGUCUUACAAUAGACUCACCCUGUCCUUGUCCUUGUCCUUGUCCUUCUUCUUAUACUGAUGAAUAUGAGGCCGAUGAUAUUUCUGUGAAUAAAGAAAAUGAUAAUAGAAAUGGAACCAUUGGGCAAAUGGUACUGCUGUACCGUACAUCCGCCUUGGCCGUACAGCAGCAUCAGUAUGAUAAAAACUGUAAAAAAAAAGGGCUUUCCUAGAGGUGUAAAUAUCAUGACCCUCACUAGAGAUACCAAGAAAGUCAGCUAGGUCCGCAUCAUCAAAUUCAAUAGGCACAUCGCCGACUUGAGUAACUAUCCUAUUUAGGCGAGUUGCGAAGAUUUCCAUGUUCGAAUAAAAGACUCGUACUAAGUUGGGAUAAACUCGGUCAUCAAAGUCAAUGGCAGACUCCCAAGGCUGAAGCAUAUCCCUAAUACUUCUACCACAUACAACUAAGGUACUGAAAUCAUCUAUUUCAACAUAAGAAGAGUCAAGUACCUUUCGACCAUUGAAGCGAUUCUCGAACCGCUUGGCCAAGGAAGGCAUGGCAAAACUUAAUUAAGGCAAAUGGGUAUUCAACCACGUUGAGUUUUAUUCAACGUGGGUAUUAAUGGAUGAAUGAUUUUGGUAGAAUUAAAGUUUUUUUUUUCCGUUUUUGUUUCAUUUGUCAACUCCAUUUAAUCAAUUAAUCUCAAUGGCUAUAAGGAUCAUUUUUAAUGCAAACGGGUAUUUCUUUGCUGCAAAAGACGGCUUUGGUGUGAUUGUAAGGAAUUGAGAGUGAGCAGCACAUCCUGCGUGCCAUCAACUUCUUUGCACUACAGGCACCCUCUGCAUGCUGUGAAGGGAAAAAUGUGAAAACCAUUGCAUGCUGUGGGGCUGCUAAUCAAUCAAUAGAGAAAGAAUUCAGUAAUCAAUUCUAGCAAAGCUUCCAAAACGUGCAGCACUAUAGAUUAAAUCUUCCACUUUCAGAACUUUACUCAUUAAUCUUCUGCUCCAAAUCACCAAUGAUUAGUGCUGGUUUUUUAUUUUACAAGGGCUUAAUCUCCAUAUAUCUGAAGACUAUGAAGAUUAGGCAAUAUGCCCCAAUUUCUUUUUGUUGUGUUUAAUCCUCUGACAGUACCAAGAUCAAACACCUUAGACCAUCUUUGAUUUGAUGUAUAAAGACUCGUUCUCCGAAAUCCAAACUAAAAAUUGAAUCAAAGUGCCUAAAUCCAGUGAAGACAAGGAUACAAGCUUUCAAGCUUUCACUAUUUCACAAAUCAAGGUUACCAGGAUGUAGAGCUUGUUACAGAGAACAAGAAUAUACAACUUUCUACUUUAACUCUCUCUCUCUCUCUCUCUCUCUCUCUCCAUAGCUUUGAUGAGAUCUGAGAAGAUGACCCAUCAACCAGCCUUAUAAACUAUGAUAAGGCCAUCUCUAACAAUCCCAGAAUUUUCCUGCACUUUUUUAACUAACCCCAACUGACUUUUGACCAGCAUUCUCGCCCUUAUAAUGACUGACACGUCGGUGAAAUUCCAAAAAACCGAACAACAAUGUCGUUCUGCCAGUGUUGAGAUGAUGAGAUGAGAUCAAAGCACAAAUACUUUUCUUCUAACUGAAGUACUAAGCUUGAAGUUGAACUGUACCGCUACUUAAAAACUAGAGAAAGAAAUAAAAUAAAAAUAAAAACAUAACAUAUAUCAAUUUGAAUGUUGACAAAUUGAAUACACACCAGUGAAACUGAAAAUAGAAAGUAAAACAAUUAAUCAGACUUUUGUACAAUAUAUUAAUCUGAACAUGACAUUAUUACUUUUAGCAUGCAAAUCCUUGACAAUUUGAAUGUUGACAAAUUGAAUACACACUAACUGAAGUACUAAGCUUGAAGUUGAACUGUACCGCUACUUAAAAACUAGAGAAAGAAAUAAAAUAAAAAUAAAAACAUAACAUAUAUCAAUUUGAAUGUUGACAAAUUGAAUACACACCAGUGAAACUGAAAAUAGAAAGUAAAACAAUUAAUCAGACUUUUGUACAAUAUAUUAAUCUGAACAUGACAUUAUUACUUUUAGCAUGCAAAUCCUUGAAAACAAAGAAACCAAACAACGUGUAGACAACUCAGCAGAAGUGAACACUGAAAGGAUGAAGGCUGGAUUCUGGUUGAAAUUGAAACUUUGGCUGCAGUACAGUUAAGAUAUUUUCCGCUGUGCUUUUACCUGCACAUACAACUGAUUGAAGAUCUUAUCAUACAGUUUUUAAUGAAUGGUGUCAGCAUCAGGAACUGUGAUGGACACUUCAAGUUUAUGUUGAGACAAAAAUUAGAAGCAACCACAAUUAGAAUGUAGAAAACACUUUAUAUUAUGAUUAUAGUUUAGGCAGCUGCAUACUAUCAAAUCUUUUGUGGAGAAAAAAAAAACUUUUAUAUGAAAUUAGAUCGAUAAUUAAAGGUUGAAGUUAUUGGGGAAGAAGAAAAAACUUACAUCAAACUCAAUCAGGGCUAAUCAAAUUCCGUAAGGAUAAAUCUGAACGCCAUACUGCUCCUUAUCCUUGAAUUCCCGUAGCUUUUGUCUCAGCUCUGGCUGAGGCCACCAGCAAUCGAAUUUGUUUAAGCUCUUUAUGCACCAGAGCUAUUCAGGAACCCUUUUUAAGUAAGCACAAGGGUUGAUAAGCACGCAUUCUAGUUUUGGCAUGGCCCCAGUCCCCAUAGUCCACUCCUCUAGCCAUAGCAUUGAUUUCAUGUGCAAUACCUUAAGCCUUGGAAAACCAUCAGAACCACAAGUCAGCUUUCUACCUGAAUACGAGUUUUGCUUCAGUUUGAGCACUUGAAGAAGCGGGAGCUUUUCUAGUGUCGGCAUGGGAUCAUCCAUUAGGUUAGUAUUAGAAAAACUCAAGUGGGUUAGACUAUGAGGAAAUAGGUAUUCAGCAAGGAUGAUUUUGGAGAGCCGUGGCAUCUUGCUUUCGUUCACCAACUUCAAUGACUCGAGGCAGCUCAAUCUGCAAAUACUUUGGGACAACAAAAAUUGAUAAUAACUUAAAUCUCCCCAUAUGCAGAGAUUUCGAAGACUAGGCAGUCUGCCCAAUAUAUCUUCAGUACAGCAGCAAGGAUGCAAGGCCGAAAUGAAAUUGACAUUUUCCAGAGAGCCGCAAUAUUUUCCUGGACGUGCAGGAAGUAUGAUUGAGCCAAAAUUUAGAUGCCUGAGUUUGUUCAUCUUCCAAAACUCAUCUGCUGUAUGAUCUAUGUCGCUAAAAAGCAUAUUGAGUGUGUACAUGUUCGAAAGAUAGUUGAAAAAUGAUGAAGGAAGGCUUUUCAGGGAAGGGAUAUUCAACUUCAAAUAUCUUAAAAGAGAUAAAUUUUCAAUAUUGGACGGAUAUUGGUUGAGAACAAGGGAUCCUAAGUCUAAUACUCUGAGAAGUUUGUACAUUUCACAAAUUUUCUGCCAAUCUAUGGGGUCAAAGUGGUCGCUUUCUGAAGUGAAGUACAACAAGGAAUGCAGGUGCGGGUAAUAAUCAUCUAAGUAAGCAAAAUCGCUCUGUUGUUCUAGAGCACAGAAACGUUUGACAUUUUUUCGUGAUUCACCUUUUGCAUCCAGGGUAGGGGAAAAGACAAAUUCAGCAUUCAAAGCCACUACAAGCAAUGAAGGCCAACAACGACUACGGAUAGAGCAUGUGUUGAUUGUGCCUCCAGCUCUUCUCUUCUUUACUUCAACAAAGCCUCUAUUGAUUAGUUGUUCUAAGUACUUCUCAGCAGUUGCCUCGCUGUUGUCUGGAAUGAAACCUUCAACUAUCCACAACUGAUAUAACUGCCUGGUGGAUAUCUCUAGGUGUGCGGGAAACACAGGUAAGUAAAGACAACAAAGUUUCAAAGGAAAAGGUAACAUGCAAUGUGCGACGGAUUGAAGGAAAAGGGGCUUAUCAAUUGCUUCCCUUUUAUUUUCUUCUAAUGAGAUGCUUCCAUGGUAUAGGAUGUGGAAAGGCCAUCCUUGGUAUGUCACUCGCAAUGGUCCUCCAGUUGGCACUAAAUCAAGCUGAAUAUUCUGUCAGUUUUCGAACUGAAAUAAGAUGACGAUAUCAAUUUUAGCGAGCGUUAUUAGUACUCUAUGUUGAUGCUGAAAUCUGCUCGCCCUUUGCCCGACAAGAUUUUUACACUAACGUUCACGUUAUCAAUAAUGAAGAUAUCAAUUCCUUCUUACUUCAACGAUUGCUCCAGCCACUGAAGUUGGAGUUGUCCCUUUUUUUCUCACUAAGCCUGCGUUCACAAAAGUGGAUCAGAGACACCGGUGGUUUUGCCGGCGCAAACCCUCUGAUGCCUAAGUUAGCUAAAGGUGUUUAUGGGAAAACGGUGCAAUUAGGGUUCAAAUAAUUUCUUAGAAUUAGCUCACUCUCGGUAUUAAAAAGCGUCUGGAUACAAUUUGGCAGAGUUUUCCCUUCUCUCAUUUUUUCUUCCCUUUUCUUCAUUGAUUUCUUCUUCUUUUAUAGCCGCUGUCCCACGUUCCUGUUUAGCCUUAAUCCCUCCUUUUUCGGGUGGUGGCAGCCCCUCAUGGGACUCUAACUGCUACAUUAUGGGCAAACGUGGGAUCUCGCGUCUCCCGCAACGGUUCUGGAAAAAGCGCAACUACCGUGAUUCUGUGGGAUCGUGUUCCCACUUUUUCGGGGGAUGGGUAUCGGCUCGGUAUAUACCUCUGGUCAGUAUACUCCCCUGGUUGGUACUCGUCUCUAGUCUGCUCAUAUUUGUCCCCGUGUUCUGCUCGUACCAUUUGGCUGAGAUGAUCCAUGCCGGGGCAGAAAUAGUAGCAUGGCCGACCUGAUGCUUUUAUUUACUUAACACCAGUCCCCCAGUUUAUGGUCUUGCAAGUGAAAUGAAUUAAGAAUAGAAACUGAUAGUCAAAUGUUACCAACCCGGGGGCUUCUCAUCUGGUCUUCUAUUUACCGGGACGGACCUGAGGUACCAUUUUUCUUCUGGGGAGGUUCCGACCUGAGCAUGGGCCUUAAUGAGCAUAUCCAUUGCAUAUCUGGGCUUGCAUCUAGCCUGGCCUCUUGUAACGGUUAGUGACGUGGCAUCUCCAGACUGUUCGUAUUUGAAAUUUGAAACGACGGGCUAUUCGUCCUCGAUAUACGGUAAGUGAGCUGGCAUCUUUAUCACUUAAAUGCUUUCAUUUCCUCCUUUUCGUUUCAAAUCCCUAGACUUACAUCAUCAUCGUUUUGUUAUUCGUCUCUCCGUCGUUAACCUACCCCCUCUUUGAACUUUACUUACACUUCCCGUGUUCGGAGUAUCUACUUGCUGGGUUUUUUCUCUGUCACGGCAGCGCUAUCAGGGCCAGUUCAUUCCAGGUAUUGCUUUUAAUCUCUUCCCUGGUUGUUGUUGAUUGGGUUCUGUGUUGCCCCCUUUUGUAUCCGUAUACUUGAGUUUUCUUUGUUUUCUUUUGGGAUUCUGAUAUGUCAAAUCGGAAAAGGAAGUUAAUUGUUGAUGAGAGUGAUGAAGAAACAGGGGAUUCAGACCUUAACGUGUCAAUACCCACCGAUUUCUUAGGUCCCUCCAGUAGUGUAGGUCCUUCCCAUGGCAGGGAUAUCCUUGAAUACCCACGCCCCCUGACCAUUUCGCCUUCCCCUGAAUUAGAGCUUGUGGGGAAUAGAGGUGGACCCACAUCCAGCUCUGGUGAAGAUCACAGUUAUGGUGGGGUUGGGGUCCCUGAAGAAGUGGGUGAUGGCGAGAGAAGCAGUUCCGAGCCGAGCGGACCCUCUAGGAAAAGGAACUUUGGCCACAUAGUGGAGGCAGAUUCUUACCCUAUUGAUUUCAUAGCUUGUGCCACCACCCCCACUGAUCUAUUAAAGCUUAGGAACCUCUACAACAUUCCUGAGGAGGUUCUCCUUGUAGUUCCUGGGAAAGGUGAUGUACCUAGUCGGCCUCCGAAGGGGUACGUGACGAUGCACUUGGAGAGUUUCAGACUAGGAGCUCGGCUGCCCCUUCAACGUUAUUUUGCCAAGAUAUUGGGUGGUAUGCACCUGGCCCCAGGUCAGCUACACCUAAACGGGUGGAGGGUUCUCUCGGCUAUGUUUGUGCUGUGGGAGAGGUGCGGGUCGGAGGAGCCUUCCCUUGUUGAAGUGAAGCAUCUGUACCAGCUGCGAAGCAGCCCAAAGGAGGCGGGCUGGUACUACUUCAUGUCCAGUUUUGCAAAGAGGAAACCGAUCACUGGGUUUCCUUCUUCAUGUAAGAAUUGGAAGAACAAAUUCUUCUUUGCUGGAGGAAACUGGUGUCCAGCAGUCCGGUCGCUUGGUGGGGAUAUUUACCUUCCAAUGCAUUUUAUCACCCCAGGUCGUUCAUUUUUGCCUAUAUUCUUAAUCAAAAUUGCUACUUAUUGAGUUCUUUAACCUUGUUUGUUUUUUUCAGAAUCUUGGGGUUUGGUUAAGGACCUUGAAGACCGACCCUUGCUCCAGGUUGAAACUACUCUGGUGAACGCGUCUACCUGCCAAGACCUGCUGUCACUAAUAAACUUGGUCGGUUCGGGCUUAGUGGACAUUGUUGCCUGGAUGGAUAACAAUAUCCUCAGUGCAAUGAGCAGAAAGCGUGGUCGGGCUCCGAGCAGCUCCAGCAACCCUCCUCCUCCUCCGAAGAAAGUCAGUGUUAGCCCUUCUAAGGCUUCUGUUCCUGCUCUGCCCCCUCCUCCACCUAGUAAGAGUGUCGGGGAGAAAACUAUUGACAAGAGUUCUGAGGUCAGUACACGCUCUGGGGACCGAUCCUCCCCUCUUCCAGCUCGUGAUCAGGGUGACUACCUGAUCCUGUAUCAGAGGGACUAUGGGAAGUCAGUGGGACCGAAGAUGGUCCAGGACAUUGAGAGCAUGAAUCUCAAUGAAUUAGUUGGUUCUGUCCAAAGGGUCUCCUUCAAGUUGGCCACUCUAGUAUCUUGUUACAAGAAUAGGAUCACGCGCCAAGAGAGGAAGCUCCAAGCUGAGAACCAGGACUUGAAGAAGAGGGUUGAGUCUGUUGAUCGCUCGAAGGAGAAGCUGGUCGAGCUGAACGGGUAGAUUAUGGAGCUAGAGGAGAAAGUUGCGGUUGCUGAGUCCACUUCCUCCAAACUUGAGGGUGAGUUGGGUGACCUGAAGUCUGAUCUUCAGGUUACUCAAAGUGAAAGAGAUACUCUGAGGACUGCCCUUGAGGGAGAAAUCAAAUCCUUGAGUGAGCAGCUGGCUGAGGAGAAAGGUAAAUCCGCUGACGUGGACGAUCGGCUGGAUGCCGAGUAUGACUCUGGGGUUGUUUUCUCCUAUAAGUGCAUCAUGUCUGUGCUUAAGGAAGAAUAUCCCGAGCUGGACAUGAGCAAGCUGGAGGCUGGAGUAUAUGGCAGAGAUCGGCCAGGCAGAUAAAGAGUAGGGUGAGCAGGAUCAAGUGGAGGCUCCUUUAGAUGGGGUGCAGGAGGGGGAAGUUGGGGGACAUGCUUUUGAAGUGGGACAAGGGUCCGUGCCUCCUCCUCCCGGUAUUGCUGAUCUUCCACCUCCAGAGAUAGCUGAUCCUUCACUUGCUAAAGCCGUUGACCCUCCUAAUCCUUAGGUCUAUUUUUGUAUAGACUCUAGAUUUUCAUUCGUUUUGUAAACAUUUAAAUGCUUAUAAAUUUUUAGAUGUUCUUUACUGGCUUUCUUGUCUGGUUUUUGCUCAUGGAUUGUUUCUGCAAAUUAAUUUGACAAUUUAUCUGAUUUUGCUUGUUGGUUCUUUAGUGGACCGAGUAGGAAUAUGCAUCCGCUUGCCUUAGUAAAUUUUUGCAAAAUUGCCUGUUGGUCGUUUGUUGACCGAUCAAGAGCAGGCACUUACUUGCCUUAGUAGAAUUUUCGUAAAAUUGGCUGCUGGUCUUUCGUUGAUCGAGCAUAAGCAGGCACUUACUUGCCUUUGUAAAAAUUUAUUGAAAUUGCCUGCUGGUCUUCGUUGAUCGAGCAGGAAUAGGCACUUGUUUGCCUUUGUGGAAAUUUCGUAAAAUCGCCUGCUGUUCUUUCGUGGGCCGAGCAGGACCAGGCACACACUUGCCUUGGUAAGAAUUUCAUAAAUUUAGCUGUUGGUCUUUCGUUGACUGAGCAGGAGCAGACACUUACUUGCCUUAGUAGAAUUUUCAUAAAUUUAGCUGCUGGUCUUUCAUUGACCGAGCAGAAGCAGACACUUACUUGCCUUAGUAGAAGUUUCGUAAAUUUAGCUGCUGGUCUUUUCGUUGACCGAGCAGAAGCAGGCACUUGCUUACCUUAGUAGAAUUUUCAUAAAUUUAACUGCUGGUCUUUCGUUGACCGAGUAGAAGCAGACACUUACUUGCCUUAGUAGAAUUUUCGUAAAUUUAGCUGCUGGUCUUUCGUUGACCGAGCAGAAGCAGACACUUACUUGCCUUGGUAGAAUUUUUUUUUAUUGGGUUUGCUAGCAGGGGGAUUUCGUGCUGAAUUCAUCUUUAUUGAAAUUUGAAUGCAUUACAGGAACACAGAAUAUAUGUAUGUGCAACAAGCCAUCAUGCAUUUAAUAGAAAUAACUUAUGAAGACUUAGUAGAGCACUUUGCUUACUGGAAAUACUUCUUCAAGUGCUCGGCGUUCCACAACCUCUUUACGUCUCGUCCAUCUGUGUACACUAACUUAUAAGCUCCUGGUCCAGUUGCUCGUAUCACCCUGUACGGGCCUUCCCAUUUCGGGCCAAGAGCGCCAUGGUUGGGAUCCCUGGUGUUUUGGUUCACCUUCCUAAGCACCCAAUCUCCUGGUCGGAACUGCCUCACGCGUACGUUCUUGUUGUAAUAACGCGUGACCCUUUGCUGACAUUGGGCCACUUUCUGCGAGGCCCCUUCCCUUUUCUCCUCCAGCAGGUGCAGGCUCAAGAAGAUCUGCUCGCCAUUUUGCUCCUCAUUGAAGUAUUCCGUCCGAUGUAUUCGUACUCCAAUUUCUGCUGGGACUACCGCCUCAUGACCAAAAGCUAAGGCAAAUGGGGUUUCCUCUGUAGCGGUUUUGUGAGUUGUCCGGUAAGCCCACAGUACCCCUGGUAGCUCGUCAACCUAAGCUCCCUUCUUCUCUCCCAGUCUAGUCUUCAGGAGUUUCUUUAUCACUUUGUUGGCUGCUUCCACUUUUCUGUUUGCCUGGGGGUGUGCGGGGGUGCAGAACUUCAGGUCCACCCCUAGGUUCCGGCAAAAUUCUCUGAAGUUGUUGUCAAAUUGCCUUCCAUUGUCGGUGAUGAUGGUAUAAGAGAUUCCGUAUCUGCAGAUGAUAUUCUUCCAAAUAAAAUCCGUUGUCUUUCUCUCCGUGAUUUGGCUAAGGACCCCCACUUCUAUCCACUUGGUGAAAUAGUCUAUUGCUACAAUUGCAUGGGUUGCCGCUCCUCGGCCUUUCAGUAACGGACCAAUCAGGUCGAUUCUCCAUUGAGCAAAAGGCCAUGGGGAUGUCAUAGUGGUGAGCUUUUCUGGGGGUUGUGCGGGAACCUCUGAGAAGCUUUGGCAGAUUUUGCAACUCUUUGCCAUCCUUUUCGCAUCCUGGUGCAUGGUCGGCCAAAAGUAUCCUUGCCGGAGUGCCUUGAAGGCUAAAGUUCUUUCUCCUGAAUGAUUUCCACAUAUUCCUUCAUGAAUCUCCCUUAGUACAUAGUCUGCCUCCUCAUCAUCCAAACAUCGCAAAAGGGACAAGGUGAAUUCUCGGCGAUAGAGCACCCUAUCGAGCAGUGCAUACCUCGCUGCUCGGCGUUUUAACUUUCUUGCUUGCCUUUUGUCCUCCGGUAAAAUGCCAUCGCGGAUGUAUGCGAGAAUCGAGUCCAUCCAAGAUUCUUCGAUGCUUAUUCUCAUUACCUCUACUUCCUCUCCUAUACUCGGCGAGGCCCUCAUCUUUAGUGGAACUGACUUAGGUAAUUUGGGAUCUACUGUUGCAGCCAUUCUUGCCAACAUGUCUGCUCGGUAAUUUUCAUUCCAGGAUAUCUGCUUCACCUCUACCUUUUUGAAGAGUUCAACCAUUUGUUUCGCCUUCUUCAAAUAAAGCCCCAAUUUCUCUUCCCUUACUUGGAAUUGAUCACUGAGCUGAUUACAUAUUAGCUGGGAAUCUGCUUGGAUUUCUACUCUUUCUGGGCUUCGGAUUAUAACUCCUGCUCUAGAUCCCUGUUCACUACGUGACCCAUCAACCAUUACCAGCCACACCCCCUUUGGAUCCUUCUGUUCCACUAGUUGUUCCUCCUGGACCUCUUCCCCUGGUUCAACACGGUCAACCAUAAAAUCAGCCAGGGCUUGGGCCUUGAUUGCUCCUCGGGGCCUAUAGGACAGGUCGAAUUCGCUCAGCUCCAUGGACCACUUUACUAACCGCCCUGAUGCAUCUGGUUUUUGGAGCAUUUUCCGGAGAGGUUGGUCGGUCAUCACAAUUAUCGGGUGGGCCUGAAAAUAUGAUCGCAGUUUUCGUGCUGCCGUUUUUAAAGCCAGUGCCCAUUUCUCCAUCAAUGGGUACCUAGUUUCUGCGUAUACCAGGGCUUUGCUAGUGUAAUACACAGGGUGUUGCUUCCUUUCUUUUUCUCGGACUAACACUGAGCUGGUGGCCCAUUUUGAGAUUGCCAAGUAUAAAAACAGUUGGUCACCUUCUCUCGGAGUUGAUAGUAAUGGGGCGUGAGCCAGAUAUUCCUUCAGCUGCCCAAACGCUUCCUCACAUUCUGAUGUCCACUCCAUCUUUCUCCCUUUCUUUAUGGUUUCGAAAAAAGGGUGGCAUUUAUCUGUGGCCCGCGAGAUGAAUCGGUUCAAUGCUGCCAAUUUCCCUGUAAGGCUCUGCACCUCCUUAACUGUUCGUGGGGACCUCAUUUCUGUUACCGCCCGUAUUUUUUCUGAGUUGGCCUCGAACCCUUGGUGGCUCACCAGGAACCCCAAAAAUUUGCCAGAGCUGACCCCAAAUGCACAUUUCUCCGGGUUUAGCUUCAUUCCAUACUUCCUCAGUAGUUCAAAGGUCUCUUCCAAAUGUUUCACGUGAUCACUCGGUUCUUUGGACUUUGUGAUCAUAUCAUCCACAUAUAUCUCCAUAGUAUGACCGAUCAAUUGCUUGAAGAUCUUGUUCACCAACCUUUGAUAGGUGGCUCCUGUAUUUUUCAGGCCAAAAGGCAUCACCCUGUAGCAAAACAAACCCAUGUUAGUUAUAAAGGUGGUGUUUUCCUCAUCCUGCUCGUCCAUGGGUAUCUGGUUGUAUCCCGAAAAGGCAUCCAUGAAGCUGAGCAGACUGUGACCCGCUGUUGAGUCCACCAAUUGAUCUAUCUUUGGUAGGGGAAAACUGUCAUUCGGACAUGCCUUAUUAAGAUCUGUGAAAUCCACACACAUCCUCCAUUUUCCGUUGGCCUUCUUUACCAGUACUACAUUGGAAAUCCACUCUGAGUACUUGGCCUCCCUUAUAAAUCCUGCUUUCAAUAGUUUCUCCACCUCGGCAUUUAUGGCCUCGUACCUUUCCUAGUUAAAGCAUCUUCUCUUCUGCUUCACCGGCCUCGCCUCAUUCUUGAUUGCCAACUUGUGGCAAGCUACCCCGCGAUCAAUUCCUGGCAUAUCCUCGUGAGACCAGGCGAAUAUAUCUGCAUGAGACUGUAGGCACUUUACCAGCUCGCCUCUUACUGUCCCAACCAAUCCUGAACUGAUCUUAACCACUCUGCUCGGGUUGCUUUUGCUUACCGCAACUUCUUCCAGUUUCUCAACGGGUUCUUGGCGGCCCUUUUUAGACUCUCCUCGGUUAUCUAGAGAAGUAACCUGUAGUGUCUCCUUGGCCGCUGUAGCAUAACAACUCCUUGCCAUUCUCUGGUCGCCUUUUACUACACCAACCACUCCAUUUACUCUGUAUUUCAGUGCCAGAUAAUGCGUAAAUACAACGCAUUGGCUUAUCCUCAUGAAGGGUCUCCCCAGUAUCAUCUGGUAAGGGCUUCUUUCCUCUACCACGACAAAGUCCAGCAUCAUCGUUCUUUCAAACGGCUUUGUCCCCACAGUAAUUGAGAGUUCGAUGAUCCCCAUGGGAGUUAACCGUCCCCCUCCAAAUCCCUUUAAGGAUGUAUUUGUCCGUUCUAAUUUCAAGUCUGCAAUUCCCAUAUCAUCUAGGGCCGACUUAAACAGGAUGUCAACCGAGCUGCCCGUGUCUACCAGUAUUCGUCCCAAUUCUGUACCAGCCACCAUUGCCUUAAUCACCAGUGCAUCCUCAUGAGGAUAUAAGAUACCCUCUUCAUCGUCAUCUGUCCAUAUAAUGGGAACUUGCCGCACUUUUGCCUUCUUGGUUGCUGGCAAAUUGAAAAGCACCUCUUUGCUAGUCAUGGCGUAUCUCCCAUAGUUCUUCCGUGCCUUGUUCGAAUCCCCAGCCAAUGUUGGCCCUCCUGCUAUCACACGGAUAGUCGGCUGUUCACAUUCCAGGCCCCUCUCAGCUCCUUCAUCCCGCGUGUACUGUGAUUCAAUGACGGAGGACACCCCAUCUACAUAUUUAUCCAAAUAACGGUUUCUCACCAAAUCCUCCACCUGGAUCUUUAAGUCACGACAUUGGCUGAUUGUGUGACCGUGAGUGUCGUGAAAUUUGCAAAAUCUGCUCUUAUCCCGUCGGUGAGCAGGUUUUGUUAUAGGGGUUGGAGGGUACAACAGGCCUCGUCCCUCGAUUCUCUCGUACAACUCCUCCAUAGGGACUUUUAACGGGGUGUAUUGUCUAUACGCUGAGCUCUGGUCAAUUAGCUGGACUACUCGGCUAUUAUGAAUAUUGUCCCAAGCGGAUAUUGAAGGUAGCUGACCUGAUCGUCCCGUUCUGGAGUUGGCCGUGUGUAGUGCUUUGGGAGCGUUGUGAUAAGGAUGGUUAGCCAACUGCCGGAAUUCUCGUUGCCGCUCCAGGAAUGGGGGGCGCGGGGGCUGAGCCCUGUUGCGGUCUCUGAGCCAUGGGGUAAGGGCGAGACCGAGCUGAUACCGCACCCAUCAUUGAGGAUUCCCCAGCUCGCUUUCCCGACUCGCUCCCACUUGGGGUUCUCUUUUCCUUUCGUCUCAGCUCCUCCAGCUGUUCACUCUUUAUCCUUGCCGAUUUUUCCUCUUCAAUUUCAAUGUCUCUCUUUGCCUGCUCAUACCUCGCUGAGUAAUUCUGCACCAGGAGACUUCUCAGGUUAUACCAUAGCCAGCCUAUCCUCACACCCUCCUUUAAUCCGCUUAACGCCUGCGGGUGAUUGAAAGCUCCCAAAUUAAACACGGCUCGGUGGUAUCGUUUUACAAAAUCUCGAAGGGAUUCUUGUUCCUCCUGCUUCAUCCCCAUUAGUUCCAUCAUAUCAUCCUCUGGGGCCAUUGCUCCUCGGAACUGUUCGACUAACUCUUGGCACAUCUGCUCGUACCCUCUAAUACUUCCUCGUGACAGCUUGCGGUACCAUUCUCGAGUUCGUCCCUCCAGUGUCAAUGGGAACACCCUACACCUCUGAGCUGGUGUUAACCCCUGAACACCCGUCAUGUCGUUGAAACGUUCAAUAUGCACCAGUGGAUCACUUCGCCCGGAGUAUUUGAGGUCGGGGAAGCGAAAAUCUCUUGGGAUUACAAUACCCAUGAUCUCAAUUGAUAGUGGAGAUUCUUCAUCUAGCAUUAUCCUCCAGCUCGGGGGCUUUCUCUUGCCUUGUAUCUCCUCUAUCACUUGCGCUAAUCUGCGCACCUCUCCCUCCAAUUCUACAGCACGGUCAGGAUCACGCGCAGCUAUCUGAUCUCGCUCCUACUCGGCAUUUUGCAACCCCUGUCUGAGCUCUCCUUCAUCAAUACUGGCCCCUCGGCCAUCAGUUUUCGGUACCCAUCUAGGGCGAGGUUGGUCCCUCCCUUCAUCUACUCGUUCUCCUGGAACCCGACUAGUGCUUCUGUGGGGAUGCACCCCAUUAGGUUGGUCUGCCGGCGGAGGGAUUUCCUCAACUCUACGCCUCCGGAGGCUGGGUUCUGCUCCAACAUCAUCUCUUCCUACGGGGGUUUCACAAUCCUUUCUCCGCUCAUCCCUCAGCUCAUACAGUAUGGUCGCGAGAGUCUCCAUUUGUUUCUUCAUCCGCUCCAAUCGAUCUUGCAUCAUCCUCUCCCGGGCUUCAUUUGUAAUUUCCCAGAGAGUGAUUGUCUCCACAGUUUCAUUAUCCUCCCUCAAAGCAUCCUUCCUCGGCACAUCCAUGUCUAAUCGUUCGUUGCUUCUCCGGUAACUACUAAUUCAGUGGUAGCUUUUUAUCCAGCUCCCCACAGACGGCACCAAAAUGUUGAUGCUGAAAUCUGCUCGCCCUUUGCCCGACAAGAUUUUUACACCAACGUUCACGUUAUCAAUAAUAAAGAUAUCAAUUCCUUCUUGCUUCAACGAUUGCUCCAGCCACUGAAGUUGGAGUUGUCCCUCUUUUUCUCACUAAGCCUGCGUUUACAAAAGUGGAUCAGAGACGCCGGUGGUUUUGCCAGCGCAAACCCUCCGAUGCCUAAGUUACCACAAGGUGUUUACGGGAAAACGGUGCAAUUAGGGUUCAAAUAAUUGCUUAGAAUUAGCUCACUCUCGGUAUUGAAAAGCGUCUGGAUACAAUUUCGCAGAGUUUUCCCUACUUUCCUUUUUUCUUCCCUUUUCUUCAUCGAUUUCUUCUUCUUUUAUAGCCGCUGUCCCACGUUCCCAUUUAGCCUUCAUCCCUCCUUUUUCGAGUGGUGGCAGCCCCUCAUAGGACUCUAACUGCUACAUUAUGGGCAAAAGUAGGAUCUCGCGUCUCCCGCAACGGUUCUGGAAAAAGCGCAACUACCGUGAUUCUGUGGGAUCGUGUUCCCGCUUUUUCGGGGGAUGGGUAUCGGCUCGGUAUAUACCUCUGGUCAGUAUACUCCCCUGGUUGGUACUCGUCUCUAGUCUGCUCAUAUUUGUCCCCGUGUUCUGCUCGUACCAUUUGGCUGAGGUGAUCCAUGCCGGGGCGGAAAUAAUAGCAUGGCCGACCUGGUGCUUUUAUUUACUUAACACUCUACUUCCAUUCUGAUUAUCCGGGAGUAUUUCUCGAAUAAUAUCCCACACUUCAAUGCUCCACACAUCAUCAAUCACAAUCAAAUACCGCUUGGUCAUUAGAUAUUCAUGAAGAAUAAUUUUUUUCAUUUCAUAAUUUUUAUCCUUUAUUUCACUCAACCUAGAUGAAGGCAUCAGAAACUUAAUAAUGAUAUCUAAUAUUUGGUCAGCAUAGCAGGUGUAAGGCUCUUGAACCCAAGCAUGACAAUCAAAAUAAUGCUUCAUAUAGUUGCUGCUGUAAGCCUCUGCGGCGAAAGCCGUCUUGUCCAAUCCAAUGCUAUCAAGUAUGGUCACUGCGGAAAGUUGAGGUGGUCCUUCUAUCAAUAGAUCUAACAACUCCUCCAUUCUAUCAUCUAGACCCACCGUGUCCCUACUUUUAGAAGAUGAAGAUAUACCGGCUUCAGCUUCAAAAGUUUUGAUGGCAUCAAUGAUUUCGGAAUCCGUGUGCUCAAGUUGUUGCAUCCGUUGCUUAAUAUCAGUGAUUCUGCUUUGGGGUCCUUGCAGAGCAUUACAAAUGUCCUUGCUGCCGCUGCUUUGACUCUUUUGUUCACUGAUGCUGUUGAUGAAUGUGUUAAUCACCUUCUCAGAUUCAUACGUAAAGCAAUUGAUUUCAUCCAUAAUGUUCCCGAGAUCAGGGUCAUCAAUUUCAACUUCUCCUAUUUUUUGCAUCAGAAGGCAGGAGAUAUCAUCUUCAAAUUCCCUCAGCCAAGAAGUAACGAUUUCAGUCUCGGCAUGAAGGUUCUGAAUAUGUUGUUUUGCAGCAUCAAGCAACGUGACUUCUUCACCAGCUAACACCCGUCCCAGCCUCUCGGAAAAUAGCAUGAAGUUGAUGUCCAUAUCUCCUCCUCUCUCGGUACCACCCUGUAAUCAGUCCUGUAGCAUGCAAAGAAAUAGUUAAAAACAGAGAGUUGGAAAGAAACUUUGCUUUAAACCUCCCCUACCUCCGUUCUCUUAGCUAGUACUCCAUUCAAGAAAUUGAAUUGAGAUUGUUGACUCUCAAAUUAGAACAGAUCAAGGCAGAGGACUACGGUAAAUGAAUCUUACAAUACACUGUUCUCCAUAUGUUGUAAAAAGAAUAAAGCAUAAGAGAAUAAAUAGGUCUUGAUCAAGGAUCAAUCAAGACCAAUAUGUAUUAUACAUCCACUUUCAAGAAAGAAAAGGUCAAAACAAUUCCACCGGGACCAUAAGGCCUAUUUGAAAAGAAAAGAACAGAGCAAGAUCUUUAGUAAUUUAAGCUGUGGAAAAAUGCAAAAUCACGUCUACCACUUACUGGCGUGCAAAAAGUUUUAUGUAUCCACUGAAACAUUUAUUGUUGAUGAAUGAAACUGGUCUUAGGUUGACCUACACAACUCUUUCUCUCGGUACUCCAGUAGUGCAAGCAUGUUAGUUUAGUCAGUAGUUUCUCCUACACAUAAAUGAUGUUUAUUAUAGAAUUUUGAUAAUGGGUACAAUAAGAAAGUAGUUGCAAAGAAAAUAUUGGGGGUUGAUGUGAUAUCUAUUGACUUGGAGCAUAAUAAAUAAUUACAAAAUCACUAUUUGUCUUUAAUUUUCAUCAUACUCCUUAUUAAAAAAUUAUUAUGAUUACAUAGUCAGUGAUUUAUAUUCACAGAAGACAAAAGUAAUGAAUAAAUAAGCUACCACUUGCAAUUAAUAAAAUGGUAACCCUAUCUGGUAAGGUAGCCCUGUUCAUUGAAAGCAAAAGCAACAGAAUCGUUCACUGUGCUGCCACAAAAUGAUUGUCAUGGAAGGCACCAAAGUUUCCAAGUAACAGACAAAGUCGAAGUAGUUAGCACUAUGAAGCGAGGCUGAAAAUCUUGUUCCUCACGUUAAAUAAUAUUUAAUAACGACCUACUGCUAAUCAUUGUGUUUGUUAAUCUCUGCCUUAUGCCUUAGCUUUAAUAGCAUCUCCAUGUAAUCCUCCCAACCCACUACACGGGAUCAGAGUAUUAGCCAAACAUGUACAUAGAUAACUACUCUCUGUUUCAAUAACUUGUAAUCUUAUCUUAUAUCUCUUUACCGUUAUCUUGUAAUUAUCAUAUAGGCUAUGGCUUAGCUUGUAUUUAUCUUAUAGGCUAUGACUUAUCUUAUAGUGUUUGGCUUAUCAUCCAAGUAUGCUUGACUUGUAUAAAUUGUAACGUUACUCAUUGAUAAAUUAUUGAUUCAUACAAUUUCUUUACAGAGUCAGGCAAGUAUGAAGUUCAUCAAUAAUCAAAUCUCUUCUGUAAAUGAACAAAGCAUAUUGAUUGAGUGCCUAACUGUAGCAACUGGAGUGCUUAAAACCAGAGAUACCUCAGUUGCUGCCCAAUAUCACAAUCCAAUCAAUCAAGAUGCUACCAAGAAUGAACUAAUUUGAAGCUCAAUUGAAAAUGGAAUUGAAACAAGAUAAUGAUGAAAGAACAAAAAGCAAUUAAGAUCAAAUUGAAUUAAAGAAUUGAAAGAACCAACAGAGGAAAAAUCAAUUCAACGUGGUUCAACUAAUUUGCAUUAGCUUGCAUCCAUGGGAGGAAAUUUUUGAUCAGUUUUUAUAGAAAAUACAUUAAUCCCACUUAAUCCAAGACUAGAAAGCAUCACAAACAUUCUUUAUUUUUAUACACAGUCAACUCUCUGCUGAAAUGAAAUCUCUUACUUAAUGAGUACACAGCUGAAACAAAGACAACUGGAAUUACUUUUCAAAUUUGAUACACUGCUAAUAAUAAUGACAAUAUUAAAAUGUGGCAUGUGUUGAUUCUGCUGCCUCAAAGCUUCACUUGAGCUAGCCCUUAAUCUACUGAUUCACCUCACACGAUUUUUGUAACUUGAUCUAAGAAUCAAGUAUGAGUUUGAUAAAUUUCAUGAGAUAGAUAGCAUAAAUUUCAAAGUCGUUAGUUAAUUUGUUAUGAGAUAUCAUAUCACAAACAUAUUUUAUUAGUUUAAAUGAAGCUUAAUAAUUAUUCAACGAGGAUUUAAUUAGUUAAUUGUUUAAAUUUAUUCUUAAUGGAAUGCUAACAAACCAAAUUAAAUUUCUACAUUUAUUUAAUUAUAUACAUGCAUAUCUUGAUAACUAUUUUAACGUGUGAUCCAAUAUAGAACAUAAUUUAAUCUUGAAUUUUGCUCUGAAUAUUUUUAUAGUUGAUUUGUUAUAAAUUUGAACGAGGGAUUGCAAUUACUUGCUCUUUUAUAAAUAUUUUUAUACCGUAGGCAAUAGUUAUAAAGAUUGAUUAUUGAUGAACUUCACACUUGCACACAAAAUUCUAUUAUUGAAAGUCGAUGCUUACUAUAACACGGCGUUUUUCUAGCUUUUACUAGACGUGGUUUCAAUUUAUUGAACCAUUAGAGGGACACAUCAGUAGUCACAAAAGUGCCCCUGUAAAUGGCAAUCCUUGUAAUCAUUUUGCUGCCGCUCUUCAUUCCACUCCCAAGUACGCAGCCCAAACUUCAACUUUCUUUGGGAAGGUAAUGAAGCGUGACUUUGUCUCAGUAAUCUGUCUUUCAUAUUCCAUUGAAUGAGCCAAAGGAGGGAUGCUUCUAUAAUUAGUAGCAACUAUCAAUCAUAUUGAAGGAAUUUCUGCAACAGAUAAAGAAAGAAUAUCAGAGAACAAAGCUGUUAAUCAAUCAACACAUGUACAGCAGUAUUAGUAUUUCUGCCUCAUUGUAUUGCCUAAGCGGGUAUUAGGAUUUCUCCACAAGAACGUUUACUAAGACAUUCAGCCAAGUGUGAAGUUCAUCAAUAAUUAAUCUUUUCUGGAAAUAAACGGAACCUAUUGAGUGUCAGACUUGCCCAUCCUUUGAAACAGGAUUUCAGAGCAAGCAACAGAACAAAGACAGAAAAUACAUUCAACUCAACCCAAACACUAGCAAGCAUCACAAAUAGUAAUUAUUUUUUGUACACAAUUAACGAAACCAUGGCCGAAGCACAAAUCAAUGAACUAUCAACUGAAAAGCCAAAACAAAACUUCUUAUUUAUGAAUAGACAGCGGAAACAAAGAAACCAAAAAAAGUCCACCACCGUAGGAUCAGGACUUAUUUGUGUAGACAGCAAAUGUGAAGACGGAAAGGUUCUGGUUGAAAUUGAAGCUCGGGCUACAGUCAUGAUGUUUUCUUGUCAUGACCCAACCCGUCUUGCCAAUUAAGGUGUGGAUCACCCCUUAUAAACCCAACAUCGCUCCCGUGCUUUGCCGAUGUGGGAUUUGCCUAGGGUGUUACAUACACCUCCCCUUGGGGACUCAGCGUCCUCGCUGAGGUUUGCCCCACCAUCGCUUGAGAGGACAUGCGGAGCCGCUUUGAUACCAUAAUGUCAAGACCCAACCCAGACCUGGCAAGAUAUUGUCCGCUUUGGGCCUUAACAAGGCCUGCACAGAUUUGUUCUUGGGGCGCUCACACACCCCAAAACGCGUCUUGCCAAUUAAUGUGUGGAUCACCCCUUAUAAACCCAGUAUCUCUCCCGUGCUUUGUCGAUGUGGGAUUCGCCUAGGGUGUUACAUACACACCCCCUUGGGGACUCAGCGUCCUCGCCGAGGUUUGCCCCACCAUCGCUCAAGAGUACACGUGGAGCCGCUCUGAUACCAUAAUGUCAAGACCCAACCCAGACCUGGCAAGAUAUUGUCCGCUUUGGGACAAGUGGACACGCGAAGCCACUCUGAUACCAUAAUGUCAAGACCCAACCCAGACAUGGCAAGAUAUUGUUCGCUUUGGGCCUUAACAAGGCCCGCACGGAUUUGUUCUUGGGGUGUAUGGGCGUAAAGCGGACAAUAUCUUGCCAGGUCUGGGUUGGGUCUUGACAUUUUUGCUCUAAUUUCACCUACACAAGUCAUUGAAGAAAUUGUGAAAAAUAAGAAAUCUAAAUUUUUUUUUCUUAACUACUAAAACAAAUGAACAUCGAUGUAUUGAAGAGGGUUGAUGAUUGGGGUGAGCAUUAGAAACUCUAAAGGGUAUUUAAUGUUGAGGCAAAUUAGAAGAAAACAAUUUGUAUAACCAUUUUUGUAUUGAAGAAAAGGGGAAAAAAUAUAUGAAAUUGGAUAAAUAAUUAAAAUUUGAAGAAAUUGUGUAAAAUGAGAAACAUACAUCAAGUUCAAUAGGGGCUAAUCAAAUUCCGUAAGGAUAGCCACUCGGCCAAAGGCCGAGUGGUUAGAGUUGCUGCCCUCCAAGUUGGAGGGCAGCAGUUCGAACCCCCACAAAUGCAUUGUGGGGGUAUUUCCUUCCUUCAUUAAAAAUUGAGUGAAGGUAGUCUUCCUUCUUACCCAAGAGUGAGGAGUAGACAUUCCUCGAAUAUUUGUGAGGGUUAAAAUUUGGGUAGAGCUCCAUUAGCAUUGAUGUAAGUUGGUCCCAGUAAUAGUCUGAUUUAUAAAUAUCAGUUAUAACCUCAUGUAAUAUGAGUUGUAGUUUGAGCAAUAGUCUCAUGUAAUAAAAAAAAAUUCCAUAAGGAUAUAGUUGAAUGCCACACUGUUCCUUAUCCUCAAAUUCCCGUAGCUUUUGUCUCAGCUCUGGUUGAGGCCACCAGCAAUCGAACUUGUUUAAGCUCUUUAUGCACCAGAGAUGUUCAGGCAUCUUUUUCAAGUAAGCACAAGGGUUGAUAAUCAAGCAUUCUAGUUUUGGCAUGGCUGCAUUCCCCAUAGUCCAGAAGUCAGCUUUCUGUAUGAAUACGAGUUUUGCUUCAGUUUGAGCACUUGAAGAAGCGGCAACGUUUCUAGCACCGGCAUGGGAUCAUCCAUUCGGUCAGUAUUAGAAAAACUCAAGUGGGUUAGACUAUGAGGAAAUAGGUAUUCAGCAAGGACGAUUUUGGAGAGCCAUGGCAUCUUGCUUUCAUUCGCCAGCUUCAAUGACUUGAGACAGCUCAAUCUGCAGAGACUUUGAGACAGCAAAGAUUGAUCAUAACUUAAAUCUCCCCGCAUUCAGAGAUUUUGAAGAUUAAGUAGCCUGCCUAAUAUAUCUUCAAUACAGCAGCAAAUGUGCAAGGCUGAAAUGAAAUUUAGAUUUUCCAGAGAGCCACAGUAUUUUCCUGGAUGCGCAGGAAGUGUGAUUGACCCAAAAUUUAGAUGUCUGAGUUUUUUCAUCUUCCAAAAUUCAUCUACCGUAUGAUCUAUAUAGCUAAAGGGCAUGUCUAGGGUGUAGAGGUUCAGAAGAUUGCUUAAUAAUGAGGAAGACAGGCUUUUGAGGGAAGGGAUAUUCAACUUCAAAUAUCUCAAAAGAAAUAAAUUUUCAAUUCCGGAUGGAUACUAGAUGAGAACAAGAGAUUCCAAGUCCAACACUCUGAGAAGUUUGAACAUUCCACAAAUUUUCUCCCAAUCUAUGGGGUCAAUGUGGCGGCUUUCUGGAGAGCAGCACAAGAAAGAAUGCAGUUGCGAGUCAUAAUCAUCUAAGCAAGCAAAAUCACUCUGUUGUUCUAAAGUGUAGAAACGUUUGACAUUUUUUUAUGAUUUACCUUCUAUAUCCAUGAAAGGGGAAAAGAUAAAUUCCACCUUGGAAGCCACUCCUAACAAUACAGGACGGCAACGACCGGGAAUAGAGCAUGUGUUGAUUGUGCCUCCAGCUCUUCUCUUAUUUGCUUCGACAAAGCCUCUGUUGAUUAGUUGCUCUAAGUACUUCUUAGCAGUUGCCUCAUUAUUGUCUUCAAUGAAACCUUCAGCUAUCCACAGUUGAUAUACAUGCCUGGUGGAUAUCUCUAAGUGUGCGGGAAACACUGAGAAGUAGAGAAAACAAGGUUUCAAGCAAAAAGGUGACAUACAAUAUAUGAUACAUUGAAGCCCAAGGGACAUGGUCAAUACUUUGUCUAUAUUUUCUUCCAAUGAGAUGCUUCCAUGAUACAAGAUGUGGAAAGGCCAUCCUUGGUAUGUAGCUCUCAAUAGUCCUCCAGUGGGCACAAAAUCAAGCCCAAUGUUCUCUCCGUUUUCGAACUGAAAUGAGGUGACAAUCUUAAUUUGAGCGAGUGUUAUUAAUACUCUACUUCCAUUCUGAUUAUCGGGAAGUAUUUUUCGAAUAACAUCCCAUGCUGAUAUUCUCCACACAUGAUAAAAAAAUAAUCAAAUACCGCUUGGUCAUUAGAUAUUCACGAGGAAUAUUUUUUUUAUUUCAUAAUUUUUAUCCUUCAUUUCACUCAGUCUAGAUGAAGGCAUUAGAAACUUAAUAAUGAUAUCUAAUAUUCGGUGAGCAUCAUAGCUGUGAGGCUCUGGAACCCAAGCGUGACAAUCAAAAUAAUGCUUCACAUAGUUGCUGCUGUAAGCUUCUGCGACGAAAGCCGUCUUGUCCAAUCCAAUGCUAUCAAGUAUGGCCACUGCUAAAAGUUGAUGUGGUCCUUCUAUCAAUAGAUCUAACAAAUCCUCCAUUCUAUCAUCUAGACCCACCGUGUCCCUAUUCUUAGACGAUGAAGAUGCAAGAAAAUUACCGGCUUCAGCUUCAAUUGAUUUGACUUCAUCAAUGAUUCCGGAAUCGAAGUGCUGAACUUGUUGCAUCCGUUGUUUUAUAUCAAUGAUUUUGCUUUGGAGUCCUAGCAGAGCAUCACAAAUGUCCUUGCUACGCCUGCUUUGUCUCUUCUGUUGAGUAAUGCUGUUGAUGAAUGUGUCAAUGAACUUCUCAGAUUCAUAAGUAAAGCAAUUGAUUUCAUCCAUAACGGUCCCAAGAUCUGGGUUGUCAAUUUCAACUUCUCCUAUUUUUUGCAUCAAAAGGCAAGAGAUAUCAUCUUCAAAUUCACUCAGCCAAGAAGUAACGAUUUCAACCUCCGCAUGAAGGUUCUGAAUAGGUUGUUUUGCAGCAUCAGGCAACGUGACUUCUUCACCAGCUAACACCCGUCCCAGCCUCUCGGAAAAUAGUCUGAAGUUGAUGUCCAUAUCUCCUCCUCUCUCUGUGCCUAGUGGUCCUAACAUGCAAAUUGAGACAUAAUUGAGAGAGACAAUGAUUAAAAGAUUAAAAAAAUAAUAAUAAGAAAUUUCCA
rnacentral:lncRNA from 1 species